UCAACACGCAGAUUAAACAUGAGCAAUCCCUAUUCUAAAGUUUUGUUUAUAUAUGGAGAAAAUCACAGUAAAACCUAUUAAUUUUGAUAAAAUUUAAAAUGUUCCUUAUAGGACAAAGUGACUUCAAUUUUUUGUCCUAGAGAGGAUUAAAUAUGAGGGCAAUAUUGUGGUUUUCUGAGUAAUACUAUGUAUUUUAUUUAUUUUAAAGAUAUAAUUCUUAGUGCUGGCUGGCUCACUUUAAAAGAUACUGGAAGAUCUUGGAUACUGGGAGAGGAUAUUCAUGAAUAAUAUUAGCAAUCUGUGAACCUUUCUAGCCACAGUAACAACUAACCUAGAAAGAUAUGUCCAUGGGUACCACCGUGGCAUAAACAUUAUAGGGGUGAACAGCUGCUUUAGGAGAGGAAUUGGGACAUGCUUCAUAAGAGGAAGCAUAUCUGGUAAUACAAAUCUGGCCACAGACCACGGUUUGGGUGCACACAGGACCUAGAUGUGAACCUACUACUAUAAUAUUAUUAAACAGAGUACUAAAAUGAUCCCUUCAAUGCAAAUAUGUAUCUCUUCAAUGCAGACUAGUGCAGUCCACAGUCCUCACCGUAGAAGCUUUUUAUGCUCAGCGAAUGGACGUUGAUACUAAGACUCACAAAUGUUCAAAGGGAAGAAAAUAAUAUUCUGUGUAUUGUUCAGCUGUGAAUAGGACAUCUAGCUCACAGUUCACAGCGCUCUCUCGCUCUCUCUCUCUCUCUCUCUCUCUCUCUCUCUCUCUCUCUCUCUCUCACACACACACACACACACACACACACACACACAGCCCUCUGGGAAUAGUCCAGAAAAGUAUAAAGUAAGAGCCAGAGGCCAGAAAAGAACAGAACAAAGUAUCUUCUGGUUACAACCUAACCACCGAACUCUUUAACUCACAGCAGCUACAGUCAUCUAAACAAGAUCAUGCCAGGCAAUAUUCCAACAUAAAAGGGGUAUCUAGAGUCUCCACCCCAAAUGAGGUGGGAUUGGCAAUUGAUACUGCCUAGAAAGGAAGAGUCAGCUUUCUUUAGGAAUUUGGUCCCUGGUAGCUUAACCAUUCUCCAGUGCAUGGCCCCUCCCACAUGACUAUAAAAGCACAGAAAAACUGAAAUCAGUGGGAUAUCCAUAAACAAAGGUCACGAGGAUGGGAGUUAAGUCAGAGCAGAUGCAGGUAGAAGGAAAGAAUGAUGAAUAUGGUUAAAACACACAUACAUGAUAUUAUAAAAUAAUGGAUCAAAAGUUUGUAUUUAAAAGAACAUACUUGAUCUUAUGAUACUUUUUUUUUUCUACCAGAAAAUGAUAAAGUCAGUUAUCUUUUUCCCUACACAUUUCCUUAAAUCUAAAAUGUCCUUAUUCAAUCUUAAUCCUCUCUUUAAUGUCACUCUUUAUCAUGGUCAAACUAAUCCGAAAUAGCAUUCUGGAUUUAUGUAAAAGUAAUUACAGAUCAUUCAACCAUUCAUAAUUUUCAAGUUUCUCAUAUGAACAAUAUGAGAUCAGGCCCAGUGGUUUCUUUUCUUUUCUUUUUAAAAACUUUUAUCUACAGAUCUUUGACUUGUGACCAUGCUGUCACAGGUCUAUUCUUUGCUGCAAAUUACCAUUUUUAUAUUGGAGACCAUGUUGAUACUCAUUUCCUUUAACAUAACCUUUCUCUGUUAUAAUGGCCUAUGGAGGUUUUUUUUAAAGAAACAAUUUCAGCUGAUGACCUAUAUUUCUGUGGAGCAUAGACAGUACUCAAAGCCUUGCACAUGUUUUACCGCUAAGUCGCAUACCAUCUUCUCAUUAAUAUUUUGGAACUGAUAGAAGAAUGGCAUAAGAGCUUCCAUAUAGCACAGAAAUGAUAAGGAAUUUUCUCUUUGACUUUUGACUUUUUUUCAGUCAUAUUUUUUGGUUUAUUUAAAAAGCCCCCAGAAGCUUGUAAAACAUGUUUGUUGUUUUGUUUUAUUUUGAUACAGAGUCUCUUGCCUAGGCUAUCCUUAAUCUUGAACCCUUUAUGUAGCCAAGGGUGAUACUGAAAUUCUGAUUUUCCUGCAUCUGCCACCCAAGGGCAAGUAUGACAAACAAAUGUCAACAUGAAGUUGUUAUGCAGUUCAGAAGAUCCUACUCAGGGCUUCUAAUCAAGCAUUUGACCAACUAAGCUACAUCCCCAGAUACCAUGUUUGCCAGUCUUCAGCUCAUCAUUAGCUAAUAUUCACUCUAAAAUUACAUUAAAGAAACAAUGAGGAGAAUUACUUCAUCUAUUCUCUUGUUUGUUGCCAUACUUGCAAUGAAAGCAAGUAGAAAUUGGCUUUCAAUACAGAAAAGUUUGGAUUUAACAAACCAACCUCCAAAACUUUAUACCUGCACAGGAAAAAAAAAAAGUCAAGUUGCACGUCUCAGUAAAAUGUCUUCAGUAUAGCAUCACAUCCUUUCUAAUACUUAAUUUUAAGCUGCUUGCAUUUCUUUUACAAAUAUUAGUUGUGAGGCCAGGUAAAAAUAAUUGUUCAUUUUAAUUCAAAGGCUCAAAAAUUCUCUCAACACUUUGGAUUUCAGAGUAGCAGUUUGUGUUUGUGUGUGUGUGUCCCAUAAAUUUCAGUAUAUACUACAUAUCUUACUGUUUUCUGCCCAUUCUUGAGUAAAUAAAGCUGAACGUCUGUAGCAAGCAAACAAAUAGAAGCUUCAUGGAUAAUACUCCAAAUAAGUAAAUAAUCUCUAGAUCAGUGUAGAUAACCAUGCAUUCCUUUAAACAGGAUUCAUCUAUAUCCUUUUUACGGGGGGACAGAAAGUCUAAGAUUUUGUAAGCAAAAGGAUAGAGACCACAGUAUCAAAAUUAGCAGAAUAACUAGGCAAGUGAUAUUUUACUUUUAAACUUUGAAAUUAAGCAAGUUAGAUUAUCUACGCCUCAAAUUAUUCUCUAUCUAAUAGAAACCCAUAAAAUUAAGACACUAAAAUCCUAUAGAAAACCUGUAGACUUAGAUUUCAGAGUUCAAAAUUACUCUCUAAAUGGUUUAACAAAGACAUUCAGCUUACCCUAAUUUUUUCCUUCCUUGGUACUCAUGUACAAAUAUUUCAGCAUCCUCACUGGAUAGCUGCUAUCAAAAAAUUGUCCACUUUCUGGGCUAGCAAGAUGACUCCACAUGUACGGGUGGUUGCUAGCAAGCCUGACUACCUGAGUUUGAUUCAUAAGACCCACAAGGUGAAAUUAGAAAAUCAAUAUCCUCAAGUUGUCAUCUGACCUCUACACAUGUGCCACAUGGACCAUGCAUGUUCACAUAAAAAUACACACAAAUAAGUAAAAAUAUAACUAAAAAUGUUAAAAGUCAGUAUCUUAUAUUCAAUCCUAAAUGGGUCAUCUGCAUCACUCUCCCAACUCUGAAACUUUCAGCAGUCAUUUUUGAAGGGGAGCCGGAGAAGAUUAAGAGACAGAAGAUAGGGAACUAUAGUUUCCUGGACAGGUCAAAACUAUAAAACGUAUUGAUAAACUUGAGAAGCUGUUGUUUCCUGUAUAAGAACUGCACAGUAUAAAGCCAGUCAACAUUCUAGCAUAGGCACAGGGGGGCUAGCAAGCAUGCAAUUCUAACUGAAGAACUACUGACUAUUGUUGGUUUCUGAAAGAAGAAUCAAAUUUUGUUAAGGAUGUGGCUCUUGCUAGAUGUUCCUGGACUAUCAGCAGAUGUCCCUAUAUCUGGGAGCACAUGGCAAUACGACUUGAACUUGAUGGGCUAUAAAAAUAUAAACUAUAUGAACUUGAGAAAUAUUAGGCAAUUGGAGAUGAAUGUGGGAGAACUGAGGAAUUAGAAAAUGCUUUAAAAAAAGGUAACAUGAAUUUUUAAAAGAAUUUUAAAAAUAUGUAUUUUUAAAUGCCAGUGUCUUUAUCAAAACCAAUCCAUGUCUUUGGAGUGUAGGAAUGCAGGCACUGCCGUGAACUAUAAAUACCAUUUGUGAUUGGCAUUAAUCUGAAGGUGAAGAAAAUGUCAUCUAAUUGAAAUAUAUAAAUUAUUUCAAAAAUAUAUCAAAUAUACUAUAUAUAAUAUUAAUUCAUUUAAUGAAGUAUUUUCUUUUUAACAUAAAAAUAUUUAUUACUUGAUUCAAACGUAUUUGUUAUUUGAUUAAUAAAUAUAAAGAGUUCAAAAGUUCUUAUCAAACAUAUAGAAAAUUAAGAAUAUUAGCAAAAACAUAAGUUAUCUAAGAGAGUUCAACAAAUCAAAAUUUAAUAGACUGUACUGGAAUUGAAAUCCUGAUAAAAGCAAAUUAUUUCUAAAUGAAAAGAUAAAUGGGGCAUUGAAGAUUAGAUCCUAGCAGAAGAAAUUAAGAACAACAAUACUCAUCAAUAAAAACUUAAAAACCCAUUUAUUUUUGCCUAUUACCAAAACCCUCAAAAAUAUUCCACCAAAUACUUUAUAAGACAAAACAAAGAAAACACAACCCCCCAUUUAUAAUUUAAAUCCGAUUAUCAUAAAACUGAUAGCUAUAAAAUGUAUUAAUGACUUGGAUCUGUGAUGGUUUGGUCAAAUGCAUGUGAUUCGGCGUGUGUGUGUGUGUGUGUGUGUGUGUGUGUGUGUGUGUGUGUGUGUGUUUGUGUGUGUGUGUGUUUCUAAUAUGUAUAUUUGGAUGCUCAUACAUUAAGGAAUGGAAAUGGUCCUGCCUGUGAUGCCUGGAGGUUAACUACAAAAUGCCUUCCUCAGGAGCAGUCCACACUAUCCUUCUAAAGGAUAUCUCACUAGCAUGGAGAUCCCAAUUAGAUAGGUGAGCUAGGCAGUGAGUCCAGGACUCCACCAAUGUCUAUUGUUUCAGUGCUGUAUAAAGUCACCCACACAUCAUAGUUUUAUUCUCUAGGUUUGUUCUAGGGAUCAAACUGAGGUCCACAUGCUGUGUAGCAAGCACUUUCCCAACUAUCUUCACCAACUAAUCUGUAUGACCUUAAAAACAAACAUGCUUAUAGAUCAAUUCUUGGUAUCUAUUAUUAGCUCAUAGUUGAUUACAUCAUCCAUCCUUACCUAAUCGCUAAGUGAAACACAUAUAGAUAAACUUUGUUUUGAAAUUAUUAAUUUCAGAGAUCUAAGAGGCAAGCUUCAGAUGGAGCAUAAACUGUAGUUUAAUGAAAGAAGAAAAAUCCUUCUAGUUCAAGAGACCAAAAAUUAGUCACUUUGAGUAGAGCAGGCAUCGAAGGCACAAAGACAAUGCUGGUAGCUUGGUUCUAUGCCAGUAGCACUGUGAAUACUUCUCUGGCUUGUGCAAAAAUAGCCACCACCCUGGCAAACACAGGUCUGGGUCGUGGUGUGUUAAAAAAAUAAUACCCUGAUGGAAUUCCUCUGAGCCAAAAAGCUUUCACCUGCAUUAUUCCAUUAACCUCCUUGCAUUGUUACGGGAAAUGUGUUUAUUUUUUGAAAUGACAUUCAAAUAUAUCCGUAAAAGAAUACUUCGGGUCUCCCUAGUGUUCUCUUCUCUUUCAGCCAACACUUUACCUAUGAAAAAAAAAUCAAUAGCUUAUUUCUUUUCUUAUAUCAUCACAUAUAAAAACAGUAGUAGCUAGGAAAAAAUGUCAGCAUGAGUUUUUCAAUGAUGCUCUCUUCCUAAAUUAUUCUACCCUCAUCAUUAACCUGCAUAUUUAGAGCAAAGAAGUUCUCUUUGUUCUUAAAAAUUAGCACUGAAUUACACGGUUUUGUUCACUUGUGGGUUUGUGUGGUAUCUAUGUGCAUAAAUUAAAAAUUAGAACUGAAUUACACGGUUUUGUUCACUUGUGGGUUUGUGUGGUAUCUAUGUGCAUAAAUUAAUGUAAUGUGAAACUAUCUCUUACCAGUUGAUUGAAUUAAUAUCUGCGACUUUCAAUAGAAUUUCCUUUAUGCUUCCAAAUUAGUUCAAAUUCCCAGAAAUAUCAGUUUAAAUUGGUGAAACUUUUCUGGAACACUUUUCAAGAGUGCUAUGGAAGCCCUGUAUCUUAUCCUGCUAUUGUUGUUCAAAUGAUAAAUUAGCUCCUAAGAUUCCCCAGGUUCUUGUUAUUUAAAUGUUUAUUCGCAGGGGAACUUCCUUUUCCAAAUUGCUAUAUCAGACAUCCAUAUGUUUUAUUUACACAUUCUGUUACCCAAUAAUAAUUCCAUGUUUAUGUCUUGUUUUUUAUUCUUAAAAUGGUUGUUAGAUCAGUAUCCUUUAUUGAUCAGCUAAUUUUGUCAGAUAUUUAUUCUGAGGUAGGUCCAUCCUAAUUUUGACAGGCAGAAACUUGCUGUUUGAUAGUGUACUGACCUGAGGAUUUUAAAAUAGGCUUGUGUCAUACAGUUCCUUCCUCAACUGCCUGGCCAAACAUAAAAGUACCUUUCCAUUUCAGAUAUUCUAUUAAUAUCCAAGGAAAUGAUUUUUAAAAAUAUUAACCUUAAUCUAUAGAGAUGGCUCCAAGGGUGACAUGCUUGGUGCAUGAGGGUGAGAACAUGAAUUUAGAUUCCCAGAACACACAUUCAACUAGUCCUCAGAGCAUGUAUUUGUAAUCCCUUGGUUUUUACGGAGAAAUGGGAGGCAAAGAGGAGAAUCCCUGAAGACUCAUGUGCCAACUACCUGUCAUAUACACCACUGAACAUCACCAAACCUGUUAAGAUAAUGUGAAAAGAACCAACACAUCAUGUCAUCUAUAGACCUUCAUAUAUGUAUGAGGUAAUCACAUAUCUGCACUUACAAAAAUGAAUACACACACACAAACACACACACACACACACACUCACACACACACACACACACACUGCUAUUUAUGUGCUAUGCAAAAUUGUUAAUUAUAUUUUUCAAUAUUAGUUUUGUUACUGAAGUUCAAAAGUAACUGAACUGUCUUUGCUUGUAAUCAGUAUGUUUGUCUAAAAUCAAUUACCACUUUGUAUAAAGAUUUAUUUUAUUUUUAAUUAUGUGCAUGGGUAUGGUUAUUGUACAAGCAAAAAACAGACAUUUUUAGAACCUACUGGAACCGGAGUUACAGGCAAAUGUGAGUAGCCUAACAGGAGUACUGGAAUCUGCAAAUGCAGUAUGCACUCAAUUACUAAGUCAUCCAUCCAGACCAUUAAAUUACCAUUUCUGAAGUCAGGGGUUUUAUUUGCUGGAACUCAACCACAGUAGCAUGAACUCAUAAUCAAUGCUUUUGAGUACUGUGGCUUAUAACAGAUCUAUCCCUUAUAAAUCAUAGCUAUGUAGCUUCCCACAGAAGUUUCGCAGAAAUUCUUUUUACUUUUUGGUACUUCUUUUGACCUCUGGAGAUUGUCAAACUGUCAAAAGAUAACACACUAAUCAUAAUAUGGCCUGAUGUAAUACCCAAAUUCCCCAACCCACAUCUUCCUUCUUAUUAUGAUUUUAUUGCCAACUUGUACAAUUGAGAAUUCCAUGAACAACUCUGCGCCAAAUACAGCACAGAUCUGGUACAAACGGUGACAGAUUCUGUACAAAAGUGAUUUUGUAAUAUUUUCACUUUGGUAAUUCCUUCUGAACUAGGUCAUCUAUUUGUGCUGCUCCUAGUAAAAGAUAAAGUUGAGUAAGAAAAAAUACAGGAAGCAGUAACAGCACACGAGGCUCAGGUCAGUUGCUCAAAAGCUGGGGUUGCUAUUCUUAUCAUCAGUCAUCCCUUUAAGUCUUGUCACUGGUCUUAGAUUUUAUCUCCAUUUUCGUGACACAUUCACUGAAACUCUUGAAGAAACUGCCUUUCCCAACAUUUUGGAGAUUGGGAUAAUGAAAUAUAGAAAGUUCAAGCAAUUCAACUGAAGUCAAAUAAUUCAUCAAGACAUUUGUCAAAAACAUUGCCCCGUGAUUUGCUAAGGUAACAGAAUCUUAUCAUCUACUCAGUGUCACCAGACAUUAUUAAGCUAUUUACACUUUAUUUUUUCUAUCUCUCUAAUCUUCAAAUCGAUUUUAUUUGUAUAUCCUAAUUUUGGCAAAGAGGGCGAAAUGCUGAAAGUGGACAUAAAGGAGAGACUUUAAUGCUACUCAGAUGUUAACCCUGUCUUGAUUUCUGUCAUCUUUAACCUUUGAUGACCUAUCUCCAGGCAGGUCUGUGCUGUAGUGUUUUGCUGUCUUCUUUUAAAGGCUGUCCUUGCCUCCUGUCCUGAGUUCACCAACAGAGAGCACCCACUGGAGAUUAGUGCUGGACCAGGUCUUCAUUACUUUGCCUCUUUCCUAGAUAUGUUGACUUUUGAUCUCCACCCUUGUCUUCUAAAAACCGUGAUUGAGGUGUGAAGGCUCCCCUUUCCAAAUACAAUACCUUUCUCCUUUCUCCAAAAGACCAAUGAGACAUUAGCUCUUGGUUUUCUUCAUCCUAUUCCAAUGUACUUCACUGUGGUACUGACUUCAUGCUGAGACUCCUUUUAGUGAACUUACUAAGGCUUCCAUAGAUUUCUUGCUUAACAAUACAUAGUAUACAUUUAUUAUAAGUUUGCCUUUGAAAUGAGUCAAUGAGUUCAGAAUCAUGAUAAUGAUGAUGGCUGACAUGUACUGAAUGCAUGUAAAGUUUUCUCACAUGAUUAUAAGCAAUGGAUUUAUUUGAUGAGCAUAAGAAAAAUGCAAGGAACUGGAAAUAACUUGUUCUCACUCACCAUGCUGCCUAAAUAGAGCUUAAACGUUAAGUUUUUUGGCCUUUAACACAGUUGAUCAGAAAUGUUAGGUGCUCUCUAAGAGCUAGAUGUUGAACUUAGUAGCAGGAUGGUUCCAAGGAUUUUGAUAUAAUACAGGUCCUGGAGAUCGUGCAUUUUGGAUUAUGUUUACUAGUUAGAAUUGAAAAUAGUGCAUUUUGGAAAGCACAGUGAGUAAAAAUUUAGUUUCAUGUAAUACACACCCACAGAAGUGAUUCUGAGAAAGACCAACAUAAUAACAGCACAAGUUGAAGUGCCAACAUGGACAGGGAAAAACCCAUAUUUUCCUUUACCUAGGUAAUCCUGAAGGUAAGCAAUGACUACUGAAAGAGGUAGAACCAGUCUCCUCUAAGGAUGAGAACCCACCUGGGUUUUCUAGUUCCAAGAGUGCAGCCAUGGACAUAUUAAUAUGCAAACAAAGCAAAAUUGUCUCAAUAGAACGAAUAUUAAUAUAUAUAUGAUGUACCUGUAAUGUAUAUGUAUGUGUAUAUGUAUGUAAUAAUAAUGUUGAAGAAAGGAAAGUGGGAGGCAAUAUGUGGAUAUCUGAAGGAGGGACAAGGGCCAUAUAGUUAAUAGUGCUAAUGCAUAAAAUCUUUCAACUUACUUUUAAGAAAUAAAAAAUAAAUAAAUAAUUUUAAAAGAAUUGAUCUAGAAAUCUAGCAGAACAAAAUUUCACCUUAUAAUCAUUGUUUAUUUCCAGAAGCAAUAGGAAAAACUUACAAUUUUCAAUGUGAAGAUAGUGCUUAGAAGACAUUUGCUUCUAUCACACUCUGAAAAAGAGCCAGCUGAUAAAGCCAGGUGAAUCCUUUUUUUUUCCAAGAAAAUUUCUUUUUUAUAUGAAACUAAAUGUAGGGAGCAGGGGUGAGAAUACUGGCAUUAAAAAAAAAAAGGGAUCUCAUUCCAGAUGCUCAGCAUAGCUCCAAUUCACUUCAUUCUGAAUGGUUUCCAAAAUCAGUCACUUAAGUAACUGCAGAAGAAAAAAAAGAUGGCCCAUUAAUCUUAUGCUGCCCAUUCUAAUUUAAUUCUGGUUUGAGCAUAUGAAAUUAUUUGCAUUGGUUUGAAAUAUGAUUCAUAACUGCAUAUAUUAUAGGCUGUGAAAAAUUUAAGUUAUUGGUUUGGAUGACAUUAUUGAAAGCAUAGGGACAGUAUUAGAUGGUGGCACUGCAAUGUCACCUGGAUCUCCCAUCAGAUUUGUUUUGGCAAGAAGAUGUAUACUUUAAUGAAUACACUUAUUUCAAGCAGUGAAACGUGUCAAGUUUCAUUCAGUCACUGUAACCAUAAAGGUACUAGAUAAACAUAAUUAUCUGCAUGCAACUAAAUUCUUUAUCCUACUAUUUUGAUUGACGUUUCCACACCAUGAAUACCACAUGCUAAAGCACCUACUCUGGUUUACUAUGAAGAAUGUCUUCCUUUUCAAGGGCCUAUGCUGUGGUCUUUGGCACCCAAUGAAAAUCAUACAGAUGUAUCUUUUAUUAGCCAAAUGACAAAACAUCAAAGAGUUUCAGUACAUUAACCUGUAAAUAGAAAUAGGCACAGUUCCUACAACUGCAAUGCACAUCAGUUGCAGGCCGGCAGUCUAUUCCUCCCCACUCUUCAUACAUUUCCAUUGAGAGAAUGCUGUUCUCUCAAGAUCAGACCAGCUAAUUCCAUGAAAUGCUUACUUGGGAUGAAAGUCAGAAUCAAACUGAAAUUCCACACAGCUGUGCUCCUCCUUCUCUCUAGUCAGCCGAGUUCAUGCUUUGCAAACAACUUCACUUGUAUAGAUAUAUGUCUCCAUAAUGCAGAGCCAUAUGCAUACAUAGGCAUAUGCAUAUGUAAGUAUACAUAUGCAUAUAUAUAUAGGCAUAGGGACACACAUACAUUUAAACCCUUGCUUUUUAACUAAAUUGAUUCCUCUAAAUCUCAGAAUUCAUAUAUGUCGUUAUACCUUCCAUGGUAUCUUGCUUCUGUAAGGCAAAUAACAGUCAAUAGGACAAAUCAGCAACCUACAGAAUGGAAAAAAAAAAGUCUUCACUAACCCCACAUCCAAUAGAGGGCUAAUAUCCAAAAUAAAUAAAUAACUAAAGAAGCUAACUUCCAAAAAACCAAAUAACCCAAUCUAAAAAUGGUGUGCAGAGCUAAACAGAGAAUUCACAACCGAGGCAUCCUGAAUGGCCUGGAAUCACUUAAAGAAAUGUUCAAAGUCCUUAGUCAUCAGGGACCCUAGUCAAUCAACAGGACCUUGAGAUUCCACCUUACACCAAUCAGAUUGACAAAGAUAAAAAACUCAGGUAACAUCAGAUGCUGGCCAGGAUGUGGAGAAAGUGAUAUAUUCCUCAAUGGCUGGUGGCAAUACAAACUGUUAUAAACAUCUGGAAAUCAAUCUAGAGGUUCCUCAGAAAACUGGAAACAGAAUUACCUGAAGAGCCGGGCAUGGUGGUGAAUGCCUUUAAUCCCAGCACUUGGGAGGCAGAGGCAGGUGGAUUUCUGUCGAGGCCAGCCUGGUCUACAAAGUGAGUUCCAGGACAGCCAGGGCUACAGAGAGAAACCCUGUCUUGAAAACCAAAACAAAACAACAACAACAACAAAAGAACUACCUGAAGAACGUGCUAUACUGCUCUUGGCCAUAUUUCCAAAAUAUGCCCCACCACAUCACAGGGAUAUGUGCUUCAUGAUAUUCUUAGCAGCCUUAGUGUAAUAGCCAGAAUCUGGAAACAAUCCAGAUGUGCCUCAAAAGAUGAAUGGACACAGAAAAUGUGGUUCAUUUACCCAAUGGAAUACUAUUCAGCUAUUAAGAACAAGGACAUCAUGACUCUUCCAGACAAAUGGAUGGAACUAGAAAAUACUAUGGAGAGUGAGGUAACCCAUACCCAAAGAACAUACAUGGUAUAUAUUCACUAAUAAGUUUGUAUUAGCCUAAACGUUCAAAAUACCUAGGAUACAACCCUACAGAAUUUAGGACAUUUAAGUAGCAGAAAUGCCAAGUGAGGAUGCUUCAAUUCUACUUAGUAGCAAAAAGGAAAAAAUCAUGGGAGAGGGAGGGAGGAUGGAGUUUGGGUGGGAGAAGGGAGGAUGAGGGAAAAAGGGUAACAGGGUGAGGUAUAGGGGUUGGGGAACAGAAGAAAAGCCCAGAGAACCAGCAGAUUGAAUGAAAAUAUGCAGACUCGGGAAGGAAGGAUGUGGGGAGAUUCUCUAGGAAGUAUCAGAGACCUGGGAGGUGAGAGACUUUCAGGGCUCAAUGGGAAUGAAUCUUAGAUGAAAUGCCCAAUAGUGGGGAGAGGGAGCUCAAAGAGUCAGCCUCCAGUAGAUAGGGCCUUAAGAGCAGGGAUGGUGUUACCAACUCACUCUCAAACUUUCUGAUCCAAAAUUGUUUCAUGUCUAAUGAACUACAUGGACAAAAAUGAAGAAGAGACCGAGGGAAAGGCAGGCCAGUGAACGACCCAACUGGGGAUCUGCCUUAUAGGGAGACACCAAGACCUGACACUAUUACUGAUGCUAUGAUGUGCUUAUAUAUAUAUAUGGGAGAAUUAGGAGAAAAUUUGAAGUAGCUGAAGUGGAUGGCAACCCCAUAUGUGUUCAACAAUGUCAACUAACCUGUAAUCCUGAGAACUCCCACAGACUAAACCACCAACCAAAGAGAACAUAUGGGCUACUCAGAGGCCCCAGACACAUAUGCAGCAGAGAUCAUGUCUUGUCUGGCAUCAGUGGGAGAAAAUAUGCCAAAUCCUAUAGAGACUUAAUGCCCCAGGGAAGGGGGAUGCCCUGUAACAAGGGGUGAGAAUAGUGGAGCACCUUCUCUGAGAUAAAGUGGAGGGGGAUAGGGUGCAGUACUCUGGGAAGGGAGACCAGGAGGGAAGGCAGCAUUUGGAAUGUAAAUAAAUAAACUAAUUAAAAAUAAAAUAAAAAUAUAUUAAAACAACUAUUGUUUAUUUGAGGGCAAUAAAGCAUUCCAUUUAUUUAAGAGAAUUCACUAAAGAGGGGGCCCCUAAAAAUGACAGCUUCAAUCCCAAUUGAUAAGUUUAAUUCAUUCCUUCUUGUUCUCCAAUAUUUCUAGGCUACACAGAGCAGAUGGCCCAAAUUGUUUGGUACCAUAAUAUAACAUCACCUAAGGAAAAUUUAUUUUUAUAUGAGAGAAUUAAGAUUGGCUUUCACUAUUACAGUAUAUUUGAUGAAAUAAGAAUAUUGGACUUUUUUCUGAUGUGAAUUUCAUUGCAUAUAAAAUUUACUUACAAGAUUCAGAUCUAAUGUCAUUUUCAUUUCCUAGACUGCUUAAUAUAAGACACCACUUUAGACUUUAAUCUCAGUGUGCCAAAAGAAGAAAAAUAUAAAGAGAAAUGUAAUAAUUAUGGCCAGUAUUAGUUUCUACUAACAAAAUUUUCCUAAAUUUGGGCAAUAUGGGGUGGGGGGGUUAAAUCUGUAUUUAAAACAAAUUUUCCCAUAUACCUUACAAUGAAUGAGCUUUGUAAGGUAUUUUAUUGUCAAAAAUAUAUGUACUCUGAGAGAUGAGAUAUAGCCCAGGUGGUAAAGUGCUUUCAUUUCAUGGACAACAUCCUGGGUCUGAUACCAGCACCAUAAAAACAACUAGAUUCAGUUGUGCAUGCCUCUUAUUCUAGUACUCUGGAGGUGGCAACAAGAGAACCAGAAGUUGAAGGACAGCCUCAACUAUAUAUUAAUCUUUAGAUCAGCUUAGAAAACAUGAGAAUGGGUCUCACAUAUGUAAGUAUCAAUCAAUUAUACAUAUUUAUGGACAGGUGUGUGUGUGUGUGUGUGUGUGUGUGUGUGUGUGUGUGUGUGUGUGUGUUCUCUUUAGCCUUAUAUAAACAUUUUUCUGUCUUUCUUUAGGCAUCCCCUCAAGACUCUCAGGUAUCUUCAUGGAAGUUACUCAUAUGCCUGAAUAGAAAGAAAUGUCUUUUUGUUGUUGAUGAUGAACACUUGUACUCCAUCAUGUAAUAUGUUUUUUUUCUUGUUUUUAAUUGGAUAUUUUCUCUGUUUACAUUUCAAAUGAUAUCCCCUUUCCCGGUUUCUACCUGGAAACUCCUAUCCGAUCCCCCUCCCCUGCUUCUAUGAGGGUGUUCCCCCACCCACUGACCCUCUCCUGCCUCUCCACCCUGGCAUUCCCCUACAUUGGGACAUCAAGCCUUCACAGGACCAAGGGGCUCUCCUCUCAUACAUUCUCAACAAUGCCUUCCUCUGCUACAUAUGCGGCUGGAGCCAUGGGUCCCUCCAUGUGUACUCAGAAAGACAUGUCUUAACAUGCUAUCUUGGGAGGUGACAUUAGGCUAUCUAUCCCCUCUUCCCAUCCUAAAAAAACAUGAUGUUGUUUUUUAAAAUUUGGGAAUAAAAGAGUCUAAUGAGUAUUUCAGUAGUCAUAAAUUGCUAUUUCUGUUAUUAUUGUUAUUAUUAUUAUUUAAAAAACACAGUGGAAACAAACUCUUGCAUAUGAUUCUUGGUCAGUUAAACAUUGUGAUUCAAAUGUAUAGGAUAUUGAGUUCUUAAAUGAGAGUGAAUAAAUAAAAAAUCAGGAAAGAUAAUAUCUAAGUUCAUUUGUGGAGUUGUUUAUUUGUGUUUUUUUCCUAUCAUGCUUUCCCAACACCUAUACAAUGAGGGACACAUAUAUAUAUAAUAUGGUAAAUAUAUUUGCAUAUUCAGUUUAUACCUGUUGAAAAGAAAAAAGGCAAUUUCCUCAGUGAGACCAAACAUCAUAAGGGAGAAAAUAGAGAUCUGAUUAGAUUCUAGUUGGUGAUUUAUGUAGUAGCCACCCUUAGUACCAACCUAAGUCACAACUGUGGAAUGCAAGAGGACAAUAUAUUUUAGAGUAGCUUCUCUCUGGGUUUUCGUUGUCUAGAAAGUUAGUUUAGUUCUGUCUUAUUCAACUAUUUUACAGUAACCUCUAUCCAUCUGGUAACAUGUGUCAGGAUCUGGUUCAUGUUCUGUUGCUUUGUCUACAAUUAAAUGGUUCUGUACAUUGCAAUAGCAUUUAUACACAUCCUGGGGUACCGUGUUUGCUAUAUACCACCUAUUUGUGGUCUAUGGUAAAUUUCUCCGUGCUUCGUAAUUAUGAGAACAUUGGAAUAAUACUAAUGACAUUUCAUAGGAUUGUAUAAGUGAUAAGUAAUUACUACAAUUAUGUGGCUUUCAUCCAGAAAAAAAAAUCCCUAAGACUUCCUGAUCAUCUUUACAAUCAUGACAGAUGAAGGACACAUGAGUACAAUCCUUAAGCCAUGCACACCUUUAUCUUCAAGAAUUAUGCAACAUGCCUGUCCUGAAUUCUGUCAGAUAACAAAAAAUACAAGGUAUUUUGCUUUUUUUCUCCCUAAUUCUAGUGUCUUUCACUUCUGUUUAUUUACAUUUUGGUUUAGUGUACUAUUGUUGUAUACAGAAAGAGCUAUUCCCUGAGGAGUGAGGUGACAAAGUGUCAAAGGCACUGAGUGAAGCCUUUCAUGCUCCAGGAAUACUUUUUGCACAGUUCAGUGGACUUUUGAGUUGCCUAUGGGGGUAACCUUGACUGUUGUAGUAAAAUAUAAGAGAUGCUUAGGAUGUUGUCUGUGAAACGUGAUGAAGUGCCUGUAGUGUUGUGAUAUAGUACAAGCAUAACCGACUUCAGGUUUUUUGUUCUUCUUCCUACUUUUAGAAUUUCCAGGAAUAUUCUUUCUUUUUGCCUCUAAAUAGAUCUGGCUGCUUAGAGGGGUUACUGAGUAAAUAAAGAACAAUAUCAUUUUUGAGACAUAGGAAACUGAUAUGUCUAUUAAGUGUAGUAAAUGAAAAAAAUCUAGGUUAUAGAACAUGACUGUAGUAUAGAACAUGACUAGAGUAAAGAGUCAUGUGUCAAUCAAUUUGCCUCACUGACCUAAAAGGAAAAAGACACAAUUAUUGAUCCACAUGCCACUUCAGUGCUGAUUCACAGAGGUCUGUUAACACUGUCCAUGCAGAAAAGGAGCCCCCAGUAACUAUGUCACUUCAUUUCAUGUGUUUUUAAUACAAAGACUAGAAGAAACACAAAUGAAACAAGCCAACAGUAUAUCAAUGACUAGCUUAAUAUAUAUGACUUCCUCAACUUUUAUACUGGUAGGAAGACUCACAAAGUUUAAAAUUUCCCAAGGAAGUAACUUCAAAUAAGAUGUUCAGGUGCUAAAAACAACAAGAAAGCUCAGAAGUCAGAUUUUAGACGUUGUAUAGUUUAAAACAUAUGUUUGCAGUGAUUUCCAAGUAUGAGUCUUGCAAAAUUGAUUUCAUUUUCUCCAAAAGAAAAUCACAAGGAUGAUAACAUCAAUAGACUAACAUCGUUGUGCUGAUUAAACGAGAUAGCAUAUAUAAAGUACUUGGCACACUCCAGAGAGUUGGUGAACAUUUUUAUCACUAUUGUUAUUGUUGUCACUGAAUACUUAAAGGACUACAGUGAUCCACAGGGAAAAUGAUGAUGGCUAUUAAUACAGUACUGCUAUAUUCAUAAUCUCAGCUCACCAUCUGUUGUUUAAAGAUAUAUUUCACGUAUUAGACCAUAGCUCAUAUCAUUUUAAUAAAAAAAUGCACUAAGAAAUAUAAAGCAUAAACAACAAGUAAAAUAAUUUCAGUUUUCAGGUAACAAUAAUGAGAUUCCAAUGUAGGAUUAUUUUACUAAUAAAACUAAACUCUUAACCUUAACAGUGCAAUGUCAAAAAUAGGGACUAAACCACCAGUCAAGUAGUAUACAUGAGCUAGUUCAUGGGUCCCACUUCAUAUGUAACAGAGGACUGCCUUGUAGAGGCUUGAUGCCCCAGACAGAGCAAAUGCUAGAAGGGUGUGGUGUGAGUGGGUAGGUGGGGGAUCAUGCUCUUAGAGGCAAAGCAGAGUGGAUGAGGUAAGGAGUUUGUGGAGGGGGGAGUUGGAAGGGGGUAACAUUUGAAAUGUAAACAAAUUAAAUUAUUAAUAUUUUUAAAGGAGGCACUUGUGUCCUUUCUUUAGCUACAAAACGAUUGACAUAAUUGUUCCCAAGAAAGUAGAAUUUACUUGGAAAUUUCAUGUGCAAUGUGGAAAACGAUGAGACAUGGCACUAGAAAGAUGGGUGGCUCAUCUUGCAGAAAGAGAUGUCAUAUAGUCUGACAAUUUGCCAGACCACCUUGUAGGUGAGACUAAGCAAAGGCAAUAGUAGACCAGUGAUGGAUGAGAACAUAUCUUCAACAGUACUGUCUAGUUAAGUAGGUAAGCCUCUUCAACUCUAGUAUACCUAAAUGUCAUGUCAGGUUCUUUAAAAUAGACAUAGCAGCUCAAUGAACCUCUUUAUCAUCUUCUCAGUAUGGAUACAGUUAAUAAUCUUUCUUUGCUUUUCACUGUGGAAAAAAAUAAAGUAUACCAUAAGUAUCCUCACUACAGAAACUCAUGCACACAUAUGAACACACACACAGUAUUAUCCACGUGUGUUGACAGAUGUGCUAAGUAAUUUAUUCAUGCUAAUAAUUUAAUAAUAUACUUAACACAAGUUAUAUACUAUAAGUACAUGCAAUUCAUAGUUAUCAAGGAUGCUUCAUUGAACCUUGAGAAUUCCUUUCAUUCAUUAUGCUAUAAUUGACAAUGGGUCUAUAUGUUAUUAUUACAAAUUAUUUUAUGUUUGGAACAUUAAAUCAGUGAUUUCAAUUGUAAGUACUAUUCAUUUUAAUUUUAUAAUAGAAUAUAGGUACAUUUUAUUUAACAUUAGUAGAGCAUUUUCAAUUAGAUUUGACCAGGGAACCCUAUUUCCCACACACUAUUAAGAAAAAUCAAGGGUAUUUUCUAUGAAGCCCUUGAGCUCUCUACAAUCAUUUCAAGUUGUGUCACUUUGUCAUUGUGUGUGUGCAUGUAUGUGUGAUGGGUUUUCUUCUAUGAAAGUGUGAGGUAGAAGUUCUUGUCUUAACAUGUCAUUUCCCCAUGGGGAGCUAUGGGAUCAACAGAGAAGCUGGGGAAGACUCUUAAUUUUCAACAUAAAGUCUCAUUGAUUUGGCUUAUCCCCACCUCCACAUCCUCUAUCCUAUAAGAAUAAUAAUGCAUUUUAUUUUCAUGGGGUAUACAAAACUUUUCAACUUCCUGGGUGGGAUACUGAAUCUUCCUAUUGGUUCUCAUCCAUGUGGACGUAUAUAAAAUAACCUCAUUUAUUACAUAUCUACCUAGUGGUGGAAGUAAUACUGAAUCUGUACAGAGUAUUGUUGGAGUCAAAAACAUCCCUAUGUGUUUUCUACAUGCUUUAAUUUCAUAUAAUAUUGGUCUAAUUUAAUUGGUGAAUAUAUUGUAUACUGUAUAAUAAACAUAUUAGCUAAUAUAUUAGUAGAAUUUUUAUAGUAAUCUGAGUGCCUAUAUGAGCAUAAUGGUGUAAAAAAUGAAAAGAUAGGUCCUUUAAUUUGCUAACCACAUAAGCAAUCUUUAAUACUCUUGGGGAUGAGGAUCUGGAUUCCUGAUCAAACACCUCUGGAACACAGAAAGGAUGACGUCUUGCUGCCUUCAAUAUCACUUAUUUCUACCUGGAAGACUAAAACAGAACAAGUGGCCACUGUUCCUGACGAAUGGAUACAAUUUCAAUUUUUCACAAUGUGAGUGUCAGAUUCAUCCAUUGUGCCAAAUAGAUCUGUCAAGUGACCUUGCCCAUUUACCAAUGGAUGGCCCACAUCAGAAACAUGUUGGGGCAUUUAAAGGACUAAAUGUCACAUUGUAGAUAUUGUUGUCAAUACAACACAUAUUGGCAUUCUGUCACACACUGACUUGGACUGUCACAGAAAAGCUCCAAUUCUCACAUAUGUAGGCUAAGCACCUUUGCAGCAUACAAUGGUUUUUUGCUUCUCACCCCCAAGAAGACCAUAACCAGCUUCAUGGACUUAGCAAACACCUCACUCUCCCUGACAACACAUGACUGCAUACAGGUCUCAACAAAGGAGCAGACAUUGACAGUCUUGUUCCUCCUACUUUUUUCAUGCUGUUAAGCUUAGUCUGUUCUUGUUAAUACUCAUAUUGACUUGUCCUUAUAUAAGAUCUCAUAUUUAAUAUACACUGCCACUUUCUGAACCAAGAUAAUCACAUGCACUAUACAGUGGUUUGUGUGUGUGUGUGUUUGUGUGUGUGUUUGUAUGUGUGUGUGUGUGUUUAUGUGUGUGUGUGUGUGUGUGUGUGUGUGUGUGUGUGUGCUGAUCAUCAUAGGGAUUCAAUCCGAGAGCAUGCUCCUUUGUUGAUAACUCAGUUAUGGCUCUAGGAUCAAUUUUUUCAAUUUGACUAGCACAUCUUCCUUUAAAAGAACUCUUGGUUUACUCUAUAAUGUCUUUAAAAGAAGUUAGAUUCUUCCUACACUCCUAACAAAAUAAGAGAAUUGUAUUCAUAUGUUCCCUACAAGGAAAUAAAUUGAUUAUGAAACACAAGAGAAUCAUUGAUAAUUUUCAAUAUAUCUGUGUUCAUUAAUGCUUUUGAACAAGCUGCAAAAUAUAAAAGAGUCUACAGUGUAAGAUUAUAAUUGAUAAAAUGAAAGUACAUAAACAAGUACCAUUAACAUUGUGAUACAAUAUACAUAUGUUAAUAGAAAAAUAGUAUAAGCCAAUUUAGAACACAGAUAAGGGUAAUUAAGUCAUUAAAAAAAUCUGAUCAUAAUAGGAAACACACUCAAACACACACACACACACACACACACACACACACACACACACACACACACACCUUGAAACAAGGCCUCACAAAUACAAUAUAGAUGACCCCUCUUCCAAAUGCUGGGGUUAUAGGCUUGUGGUAUCAUCUUCAUCUCACUUUCACAUUUAUUAGCCAAAUAAACAUAAGUAAGAUUGGGGUGUUAUGAUUUACAUAUCAGAAUGACAUCGAUGAAAGUAGUAGAAAAUGAUGGUAUUGGCAAAAGUGUGAUUUACCACGUGUGAUGUUGAACAAAAAAAUCUGAGUCACUUUUCAGGAGUAUAGAAUCAAUAUAUAAUAAUCCUGAAAACUGUCAUUCUAUUACUACAAAUUCAUUAUAAAGGAAUAAAAUAAUGGUUAACAAGGACAUAGGGAAAAGAAAGUUUAUAUCUUUCUACUAGCAAAUGAAGAGGAAAGGACAAUGGGGAUAUAGGGUAGUCACACAAAAAAAUAGAACAAUGCUAAGUUAUAAAGUGAUUGUUAGAGGGUUUUUGCUAAGUGGCGUGUAGACACUCAUAUUAUUUAUAAGCAUAAAUAUUUUUGCAACAUUCUUUGUUAAGGGUUCAACAUCUCUAGCCCACCAUGCAACAGAGGCAUUGGAAAAGAAAAGUUAUUAGGAUAUGGGGGAAGCAGACCUUUUCAGCAACAGUGCCAAGCUUGAUCUUCUUUGGCAGUAGCCCAGUCCCAUAGUAAACACUGAACAGGAUUCAGCAGCUGCAGACCAGUCGUCUGGGCAGACACCAGGCAUUACCCAGCAGCUACAGCAGACAGCAUGCAGCUGUAGUUAAAUCCUGAAGAAACUGACAGGUUCGCCAACUAGCCUGAAGUGAGGCAAUGAAAGCAGCAAGCUGCUGCAGGAACCUCAUGAACAGUUCUUGGGCAAGUUUCUCUCAAUGACAGCGUUACCACACGUUGAGUUCAAUAACACUACAUAAGGUGAACCAAUACAUGCGUGUCUUUUAGUGAAGAAUAGCGAGAGGGAGCAAAGCCAACCAAUGCUUAGCGCUCAUGUACCACUGUUUGUGGGGUCACAUUUAUAGUCCUUCAUCCUGGGUCUUUCCUAGUGUUUGCUAUAUUAAAACGUCCCUUCACCUGUGUCUGCUUCAGGAAAACAGUUGUUCCUGUGUCUGCUCCAGCAAAGCAUCCUUUCUGCUUCAGGAAAAUGUCUUUCCUGUGUUUGCUUUAGCAGUACAUCCUUUCACCUGUGUGGCCCAGCAAACAUCAUUUGACAUAACUUUCUAAAUAACUCAGAGAUAACAGGUACCUAACAGUUUACUCAUUUAAUGUGACAAUUAAUGAUGUCAUAUGCUUGUAUUGUAUUUGUGAUAUCCUGAAUGCCCUGCUGAAUGUUUGAAAACUUACCUAGGUCAUUUUUCGACAGUGGGGUUUUAUGUUAUUUUUUACUUGGUUUCUUUAUAACAUCAACAGGUUUAGUCUCUUAACAGUAAGGUUGUUACUUUUAUAACUUUAAAGAUAAUUAUUCUGAAUAACAAUAUUUUUUAAUCCUUUAAUUAUUGUGCACUGUGAUUCAGGGUGUUGGGGAAAUUAUCUCAAAUUAUUGAAAAACUUGGCUCAGUGUAUUGGAGCAAAGGAAAGUUUAGUACUUUUCUUGACAUAUUUAAAAUUUCAUUUCCAACAAAUUCAUCAUUCAAAAGUAGUAAAUCUUGCACAGAACAAAAGAGUUAGGGUGUAAAUAUGGUAAACACUUCCAGCAUGGAUAGAAACUUUGAAUAAUCUAUUUGAAAUUUAAUCACAGUGGCCCUAAGGUAGGCAGGUGGCCAGUGAAGGGAAAUACUAAUCCCCUUGACCUAAGAAAGACAAGAAUAAAAAGCAGUUUGAUCUCAAGUCUUUUGAUAAAAUAAAAGCAUGCAAGAAUCAAAUUAUACUGGUUAUUAUGAACACAUGCAUGCUCUCGUGCGCGCGCGCACACACACAAUUGUUACACCAUUUGUGGCUAACAAGACUGACUGUAUACAAUACAUUAAAAGCUCUCAAACAUGAUAGAGACAGUUCUAGAACAUCUCCAUUUGUAGUAGAUUGUUACUAUGUGACAAAUUACCUCCUCCCCCAAGGACAGGAGCUACUUAUUUGCAAGAAUUCUUCCUUUUUUUCUUCUCAGAUAAAUUUAGAUUCACACAAUGAGGACACCAGACUCCUUAGCCAAUCUGCAGACAAAUGACCAGCUAAGUUCACAGGAAACCCUGGAAAACAAACAAUAAACUCCUAAUAUGUCACAGCACUGACAUGUAAGGGCCAUCAUGUUAGUGUUUCUUAUUCAUUUCGUCUUUAGAAUUUACACUGUUUAUUUGAAAAGGUGCCUGUAUGAAACACAUUCAAUUGUUGUUCACUGAUAACAUGUAUAUAUUUACCUCUAUGAAACAUUUCAUGGGUUACUUUGCAUUUUACAGUGUUUAGUGUUUAUAUUUUCCACCACAGAUGAAAGGUCUUUUGAUUCUGCAGAAACUGUGAUCCAUUAAUCUUUAAUUAAUUAACUAAUUAAUUAACAUCCCGAGUACUGCCCUUCUUUUUUAACCCUCUCUGAGACCCUCUCCCACCCCUCUUCCUGUCUCCACCCAGGUACAUUAGUCUUUAAGUGUGAUUUUUUUUUUGUUAAUUUGGGAAGAAUGUCACUAUUUAAACCACUCAGGUUUUGGACUUGUCAGCCUCCUAAGUACUAGGGUUGCAAUUUGGGUAAGUGUUGAGGUUACAGGCAUAUAAUAAACACAAUAAAGUCCACCAGUUUGAGACAAGAGUCCAAAUUGGAGAUAAGAAGGAGGACUAUACAACCAGAGAGAUUUUCUGGAAGAUGAAGGAAUGAGAGCUAAAAUCCUGAAGGAUGCUUACUAAUAAAGAAAUCAGACAGGGACACGUGGUAGUGAACAGACUUGUCGAGGAAGUUAUUCUAGAAAGGGAAAUAUGUGAAAACAGCAAAUGGAAAAUAUGACAACACUCUUAUGUACUUUUUGAACUCUAAAUAAAUUUCCAAAAGAUUCAUAUUGUUUGUUUGUGAACAUUAAAAACCUUUUGUUAACUUCUUCUAGAACUUUCUUAAUCUUGUGAGAACAUCUGCAGAGAAAAGGAUGUCAUUCCAGGAUAAUCAACUGCAAGUUGCUAAAUUAAGAUCAAACUGUCCUUAACCUUGAACAUUUUUUCUAAGAGAUUUUAGAAGAAAGAGGUUCCCUGGGGAGUUGGGUAAUUAUAUGAUUGUACCCUUCCUAAGCGGCUAUUUACAGAUAAGGAUUUUCUCACCAUUCUUUAGAGUUAAAUAUAUGAAUUAAAACAGUUAGGUAGUGUUUCUUUAGGAGCAGGCCUGCAGAGAAAGUACGAGCAAACUGUGUUAUACAACUCAUGUAGUCCUUGCUCAAAGCCUGGGUUUAUCAGUCCCCAAACAUUCCUCAAAGGCAACAUGGUCAGUUUCUUACUAUGACUAAUGAGAAUGAAGCUGUAGUCAUUUUGAUUAUUUGGGGCAGAUAAUUGGCUCCCUAACUUUUAGCUUGCUUUUUAUUCCAUCUUUUUCCCAUUUUCUUUCUGAAACAAGCAUGAACGUGAUUGGUCAGAGAUUACAAAGUUGUAUUGAUGUUAUGGGACAUUACAGUGGCAAAUAUACAAGGAUUCAGGGUUAGAGGGAAGAUAGGUCCAGUCCCUUAAGUAUCUGAGCUAUCACAGGAGACACUGUCUCUAAGCUUAUCACAAAAGGAAAUAAGGCGAGUCACUUGCAUUUAGCUUCUCACCAUUUAAAGAAAAGUCCCUGCAAAUGAAUACUAAAUCCUAACACUGUUCUCCCGCAUCCUGAGGCCCAUGUUUCUAUUCCUCUUUUAACUGUUUAGUCAGAAAUGUUUAGGUUGAAUAAGCAAAAAGAGGCCCAUUCUUCUAGAAGUUGUGACUUUCUUAAUACUAGUAUCUUUACGGUCAUUUAUCCUUUUUACUAUACUUAGAGUCUGGUCGUACACAAAUGGAGAAUAUUUGACUUAGGUCUACUUAGAAAAUGGUUAAGCACAGUAAGUAAAUGGUUCAGUACAGUGAAAGAUUCCAAAGCAGAAUAACUAAGAGGCUGAAUUUCAAAUGUGGCUCCAAAAAGCCUAAGUAAGUGAGGUCAUUGAUCCACUCAUUAGCUUGCUUUAAUCACACACAAGAUAUACCUGCAUUAUCCUCUAUAAAUGCAAUACAAUUAUGACACAUCAAUGGAAAGCAAUGCUGAAAGUGGACUAUCCAAUCAGAAUUUCUAGAUUUGAAUUCUUAAUCUUUGAUGUCUAGUUAUAUAUCUUAGGCAAACUAGUGAAAAACUGUGGACAUCCCAUUGAGUAGGGACAGUAAAGAACACCUAUCUAAUAUAUUGACAACUUUAAAUGGGAUAUUGCAGGCAACAGUGUUAUAAUGAUACAUGAAUAAUUUGUAAGUGUAUUGUGACUUUUAGGUUGUUGGGGUAGAUAUGUUUUAUCAUCCUGAGUUCUGUGUGAAGAAGUUAUUCAUAAUCACCACCCCCCAAUCUUAUACUAAAGAUGGUUUCUGUUAGCUCUUGUUUCUCAAUGUGUGACCAGUGGUUCAAAAACAUCUAUGUUCUGGUGAGAAAUUGAAACUAGUGCACCCAAACCUCUGGGGAUGGAGUCCAAGGUUCUGUUUUAACAAGAACUGUAUAUGCAUUAGACACAGGAAACUGGAAGACAAUUACAAACUAAGAUACCAAUAUGAGACUCUCCUCAAGAUGAUCAAAAAUCAUACUGUGUACACCUGUUCAAUUGGAAUCUGAUGGACAGACAUGCUUGCCAAGUCCUUUUUCUUGCCAAGUGGAAUCUGAUGGACAGACAUGUUUGCCAAGUCAUUUUUCUGGUAUAGUAAUGUCUGAGAAUUUCUGAGUGUAAGAGCAUUUGCAUGUGGUGUAUUCAUGAGUGUAUACAUGUACAUAUGCUUACACCGAGGUCAGAGUUCUGUGUGUCCCUUGGCUGUUCUUAUUCUCAGUUUGAGAUAGUAUUUGUCACUGAAUGUGAGAGCUCUUCAAUUACUAUCUUGGAUAGGCAAUGAGCUCCUUGGUUCUAUAACUCUCUGUUUCCCCAGCCAGAUGUAGAGAUAGAUGUACACCAUGAGCCAGGCUAUAAAUGAAGAUACCGGGGGAUGGGAUCUGAACACACACCCUCUAUGUGUGUGUGUGGCAUUUUAUCUCCACAGCCCCAUUUCUGACAUUCCUAAUGUAUGAUGGCCUGGUCUUCAUUCUUCCUUGACCAAGAGCAUUUGUCACUGUGAUUGAACUCACCAUUUAGUUUAUAUCUAUCUCUAGAAUCUCUAGUACAGAGUACAAUUCCAGACACAGAAACAACAAUGCCAUACUAAACUACCUUCCCUGCAAAGUCUCAGCAGAUUUCCAUGAUGAACUACUUCAGGGAGGGAAACAUUACACUCAUAAAAACGCAGCUUCAGAAGUUUAAUGACUUGAAUAUUUUUGCCAUUUACUGAGAUCCGGUCAUUUGAAAUAAUGCAUAUUUAAUUUUAAUUGCUUGUCUCUUAGUCAGCAUUUGCCAUCUUCAGUCAGAGAGAAAGAAACAAAUACAAUUAAAUAUUUACUUUCCAAAAUUGGCAAAUGUAAAUAAGUGUGAAAUAAGUUUAAAUAAUUAAAAUUUCAAGUGAGUUUAUGGGGUAUGUUUGUAAUCGUAUCCUUCUGAGGCUAUUAAAGAUUAAACUGCACCAAAACACUUGGGACAGUCAAUAUUAGUCUUAAAUAAAUGUAAUUCUGUUGCAGAAAUUAGAAGAAAUGUUUCUUCAAAUAUAACCACAAUCUUGAAAAAAUGUCAAAAAAGUGUGUGUGUUUGUGUGUGUGUGUGUGUGUGUGUGUGUGUGUGUGUAUGGCUACUCAAAGUUUCACAUUCUACCUCCUUGGAGAAGACCAUCUUCGAAAUAUUUCUGACUGGAUAUACUUGUUUGUAAUCUUCAAAAUUGUGCUGAGCCCUACUGUCUCUCUUGUGAAUUAUAAAAGAGAACAGUUUUCUCCCCUUGAAAUAAAUUAUCAUAUGUAUCUUUCAGGGAUUCCAAGGGAUAUGUUUUUAAAACCACUUCUUUUUCCCAAUAAGGAAGAUACUAGGGGCUCCUGGGCCACCAGGACAUUGGCAAGUGCUUAAUCACACUAGAGAUAUGAGGCCUUCAUUUGAAUUGUUAUAAACAAUAUUGGGCAAUGGCAGAUAGAUACAGGCUGAUGAUAACUUGAUGCUUCUUUGUACACAGGACCAGUGAAACCAUGAAUACACCUACUUCCCAGGCUCAAACUGUGUUCAUUUGAUCAUUAAUCAAAUGCAAAAGUCAUAGGACUCAAGUAUUGUGAAAUCAGGCAUCCAGUGCUUAUGAGUGUGUCUUGGUAGCAUUAGUAGAAGCUUGGCUGUACUCUCAUGACCAAGGCUUAGGGAAAUCAGCCUAAAAUCCCUCUGAAUGCAGAGGGAGAAUCAGAGUGUGGUGGGCAGUUCACUACCCUGUUGAGUGUACUCCAGGGACUUUGGACAGUUUAAAAGAAUGAAGUGCUGUUAUAAAACAGACCUUAUGCAUAUCUGAACACAGUAAUAAUAUUCAUUAGAAUUGGAUUUCUUUUAGCCUUCUACAAAACUGUAAUCAGAUUAAAUUAUUAAAAUAGUUGAAGUACAUGUAGAAUGUAUUUACUCCACUCAAGAAGAACUUAUUUAUUGAUCACAGAGACCUAAUAUCAAAGCCUACAUCCACCAUAUAAUUAAUAGCAUGUGAAAGUAACCACCUGUGAGGGAAAAUUCCACAUGUACACACUGAGACAUCAUACUAACAACAUUUUCAUUAUACGUCAGAUCAUUGUCAAAAUAUAGUCACAGGAUCAGCUAAUGACAUUGUACCUAACAAGUAGUCAUGGAAGCAGUUAAUAUUAAUAUGGGGCAAACAUGUUAACCAGCAAAUCUCUAGGGCAUUGACUCCAGCCAAGAAGACCUUGCAUCGUGUGAUGAUUCCUUGACGCUACACACACUCUCUCUCCCCCUCUCCCCCUCUCUCUCUCCCUCCUUCCCUCUCUUCCAAUUUAAAAUGAUGGGAGAGCUUGGUGUGGUUAUUAACACCUGCUCUAGCACUUAAGAAGCAGAGGAAGGAGAAUUGUUGUAAGUUCCAGCAGAGCCUGGGCUAUAUAUAGUAAGAUCCUGUAUCAAAAAUAAAUAAGUUCAGGGCUAUGGAGGUGUCUCAUAUUUUAACCUCUUCCAGGGGUGCUCAUUUCAGCUCAUAGCAUACACAUUACUGACAAGCUGCAAUUACUUCAUUUCUAGGUGGUUCAGUACCUUCUGACCUCAACAAGCGUGCAUUCAUAUGGUACACAGACAUUAGAAUAAAUAAUAAUGAACUAGCUAAAUGUAUGUGUGUGGGGGUUCCCCUCUAAGAUGGUUCAAUGGGUUCAAUGGAUAAAGACACUUUCCACAACCUCUGACAAUCUGAAUUUCCUUCCCAGGAUCAAUACAGUGGAAGAAGAGAAAAGAUUCCUGAAAGUUGUACUCUGACAUUCACAUACACACCAUUGCAUGAGUGUCAAUGCAUAUACCUGGAAAUCGUACACUACACAUGGAGAAAUACAAAUAAUAAACACACAUAAAAGUCUCUAUUUUAAAUAGAUAGAUAGAUAGAUAGAUAGAUAGAUAGAUAGAUAGAUAGAUAGAUAGAUAGAUGAAUACUGAGGGAAGGAAUGUGAACAAACUUGAAAUAACAGUAUUUCAUUGUGCUAUUUCUCAGGAAAGAAACUUUCAGGUUUAAUAUUCACCUUUCAAGCCCACUCUAACUCUGUCAUGAUCAGGUGAUGUCACUGUAAAUGGGUUAGUCAAUGAUUUGUUCAAUAAACUAAGUUACAAAAGUGAUAGUUCAUAGGAUUGAUAGAGAGUACUCAGGUUUAUCAGUAGAUGACUCACAUAAGACAAAGAGGUUCAGGGUGAAAAGCCCAUAUUCAAAACACUUUUCAUAUAUUUCAUUUUUGUUUUUGUUUUUAGAUUUUGGAAUGUUUGCAUACAUAUAAUUAGUUAUUUGACUAAGGGCAACCAAGUCUAAGCAUGAUACUUACAUAUCAUGUAUUCCUUAUGAAUUGUGAUUUUACAAAUUACUCUGAAUGUGUUAAUACUCUAACUGUAACUCCUCAUAUGAGGUCAGAUAGAAUUUUCCACAUCUGGUACUAUAUCAGUACUCCAAUAGUUUCAGAUUUGGGUCUGGGGAGAUACUUCAGUGAGUACAACCCUUGCAGUAUAAGCAUGAAGAGCAAAAUACAAAUCUUCAGAACCCAGGUAAAAACCAGACAUUGCUGCACACAGCUAUAACCCUACUCUUUCUAUUGUGGUGGGAGGAGAGCCAGGUAAAUCCUUAGAAACUUGAUGGCCAGCUAGUCUAGUAUAAUGGGAAACAACUAAGAAAAAUUACCUGGCCUCAAACAAGGCAGAAGGUAAACAGCUGCACUCAUGUUUGCUCUCUAACUUACCCACGUGCACAGAGGUUUGCAAGCACACAUUCAUAAAUUCACACACAAACUUACACACAUGAACAUGCAGAAGCACAAAUACAUAAAUAAAAUGUUCUAUAUUUUGGAACAUUUUCAGAUUUCAUAUAUUUGAAGUAAGCUUGCUCAACUUCUAAGCAAUCUAAAAGGACAGAAUAAUGACCUGAGAAUCAGGAAUUCUCUAAUAGCUCUGUUUUAUAAACUUACGCAUUUAGAGUGCUUCCUUUCUGCAAAGCUGUUUUUGUCAAACUUUUCAUGUACUCUUGAUGAGCGAGCAUAAUUCAACAAAACCCAAAUAAAUGUUUGCAGAAGCCCUGAAGGAUGGGAAGUAAGGAGUCAGAUGCCACAGGAGAUAAUUGUACUUAGGAUGAGUAAGACCCCACACUUGACCUCAGAUAAAUUAACUUUAAAUAGAGUGGAUGAGUCAGUGCCUGGAAUGUAAAAAUUCUAAAAGAUCAAGGUUAAGUACCAAAUGAACAUGUAGGGAUUUUAAAGAAGGAUGUGCAAAAAUAGUUACUUGAUAGAGGAUAGCAUGAAAAGAAUAGAUCUCUUUCAGUCUUGGAAUAGGUUUUCAUUACCUCUUGGUAUUGAAGCUAAUGCCACAUGAGGGAUAGAAAGACAGAGGUACCAGUAUCUUCUCUAGCCUUACAAGAGUGGAUGAAAGACACACUUCUAACAUGGUGCAAUUCGACAACAGUGGCAGACUCUUCAGGUCAUAGAAGCAUGAGUUGAAACACCCUGGCUUCAUCUCUCUUACGGGGAGUCUCAUUGCUUAUCUUAACACCUCAAUGUCUUUAUCUAAAUCACAUAAUGACUUCUUCAACAAAAGUAGGAGAACAUAAUGAUAGACAGAUAAUAUGGUCAGUUAACGCAAAGAAAUCUCUCAGGAUGGUUGGAGAAUGAUGGAAGGAUGAUGAGGAUGGUAAGGGUAAUAGUGAUAAUUGGAGUGUUACAGCCUCCCCCCCGGCUCUGAGUGGGGGAUACUUAAAAGAUAUCUCAGUUCUUGCAGUGUAGAAAUGUAGGACAUCUGUCCAAUGAUUGUGCACUGCUCUAGAGGAAAAUCUUUUAGAUGUAUUCACCUGUUUAGUGUAAAUGCUGUGGUGGAUGUAGUCAUAUUAGAAAUGCCUAUUGAGUGUUUGCUAUCAGCCAAUCUAAUUGCCCUUCAUACUUCAUAGCAAGAGUAUGUAACAGUUCCUAAUACAAUUGCUGCCUUUUAGAUAUAAACUCAAGAUUAAUGAGGUUACAACAGCUCAUAUUCUAUUGUCAAUAUGAUGAAAAAUUUCAAACUGUCUCAUUGGGUGCUGCUCAAUUAGAAGAGGAUAAUGUUAAAUAUUUUUGUCUUUGUCUGUACUCUCAUUCUGAGACAUAGGCACUUGUAGAUAGUAUUUUAGGUCCAGAGAAGUGGCACUCGCUUCUCCUUGAUUCUGCUUUGCUUCUAUACCUAAAUUCUCCUUUUACACAAGGAAUUAUUUCAAAGAAAAGCACUGUCUGUGGAAGCAUAGUAUUUCAGGGUGAUACUUAAAAUCAUGUUCCAGGGAAGAGUGGGUUCACAGAUAUGUCAGGGCUUAGUUAUGGGAUAAUGCCAUAAGGUUCCAAAAUUACAACACUCACUAUAGUGAAAGGAAGACUAACACUACCUAUGACACAUUAUGUGUCAUAAGCAUAGAACUAAGUGACUAACAUGAAUGAUUAUAUGUAAGCCUUAAUUCUUCUAAGAAUAGAACUAAAAUUAUUAUUUAAUGGUAGGAAUAGGGAUUCCUACAUAUUAGGCUGAGUAACAAGCUUACAUAGUUAACUAAAGUGGGAGGUCAGCUAUAUCUAACACCUGCAUUCUUUUCAGAUAGGAUCUCACUGUGGAGUUCGGGGUGUCUUUAAACUUAUCAUCUUCCUGCCUCAGGCUCCCAAGACUUGGGCUUGUAAAUAUGUUUCAUCAAGUCAAGCUAGCACCUCUACUGUUAAGGCUCCAAUGCUUCUCAUUGAAAUUAAAUCACAAUUAUAAGAAGUCAUUCUUGCCUUGUAAUGUCAAACAAGUACAAGGAAGAGUUGGGAGAUGGCUUAGGUAGUGUCAGGUGAGGCCGUGCUGACAAUUUCAAAGCAAAUUAUUUGUUUGAUGAAAAACAGUCUUUUUUGCACUUCUCAACCGGUUAUCAAGAAACAGCAAGCAAAAGGUAGGCAGUAAUAAUAUGCCCCAAUGAGGCUAGAGAAACAGCAGAUUUGACACUGAAACAUACCCAUUCCAUAAACAGUGGUUGCCAGUUGCUAUUCAAGCUCGAAAUUCUUCUUCAACUCACAAAUCAAAAGGUAACAUUUUAUUUCUGUAGGUCAACUUUUUUGAAUUCUGUCAUUCACCUACUGUCCCGUUUCACUGUUUAUGCAUAAAAAUAUGUUAAAUCAAAUGCAAAAGCAUUGAGUGAUAAGGAACCGUGCUGUCUCAGUUUAUGGUUGUUGAUAUUUUUUCCAUCUUAAUUCUAUUAUGCCAACUCCAUCCAACUUAAUUAUAAUGAAUAGAGAAUUACACAAUUACCCUCUGUUCAGUUCCUCAGAUGUUGUAUUUUGAUAAAAUUCACUACAUUCUGCUAUCUCCCUGAACACUAGAAAUUGAUGUGUUUUGAUACAAAAUGUGUUGUAAUUACAUUUGAAAUAUAGCUUACAUAAUGAUAAUGUUAAAAUAAAAUUAUAGAUGUAUAGAGACAACAUGGUCAUGCAUUUUGAGUAUAAUUCAUGCUUAAACCAAAAUCUGGUAGUUGAAUGAUGAACAAACAUGAUUUUCAAUUAUCCACAGAGGGUGUUCAGUAGUUUUAAAGUAUCUAAUAUCUAAAGCCAGCUUAAAACUAGUGAGCUGAAAAAAAAAUCUCACACAUAUGUUUUCAGUUUAAAGGGUAAUUUGAAGACUGGAAAGAUGGCCUGUCUUUGUCACAGGGGUAUUUCCUAAACAGAACUCCAAUGGCUCAUGCUUUAAGGUCAAGAAUUGAUAAAUGGGACUUCAUGAAACUGGAAAUCUGUAAGGCAAAGGACAUAGUCAAUAAGACGAACUGGCAACCUACACGAUCGGAAAAAAAAAAAAACAAAAACAAAAAACAAAAAACAAAACUUCACUAACUUCAUAUCCUAUAGAGGGCUAAUAUCCCAAGUACAUAAAGAACUCAAGAAGCUAAGCACCAAAACAACAAACAACCCAAUAUAAAAAGGAUGGUGGUGGUAUAGAACUAAACUGAGAGUUCAAAACAGAGAAACCUUGAAUUGUUGAGAAGCGCCUAAAGAAAUUUUCAACGUCUUUAGUGAUCAGAGAAAUGCAAAUGAAGAUGAUCCUGAGAUUCCACCUUAUACCAAUCAGAAUGGCUAAGAUCAAAACCUCAGGUGACAACACAUGUUCGUAUGGAUGUGAAGAAAGAGGAAUGCUCCUCCAUUGCUGGUGGGAUUGCACACUGGUACAACCACUCUGGAAAUCAAUCUGGAACUUCCUCAGAAAAUUGGAAAUAGAUCUACCUGAAGACCCAGCAAUACCACUAUUGGGAAUAUACCCAAAAGAUGUCCCAGCAUGCCAUGGGGGCACAUGUUUCACUAUGUUCAUAGUGGCUUUAUUUGUGAUAGCCAGAAGCUGGAAACAACUCAGAUGUCCCAAGAUAGAAGAGUGGAUAGAGAAAUUGUGGUUCAUUUACACAACGGAAUACUACACAACUAUUAAGAAGGAGGACACCCUGAGUUUUUCAGGCAAACAGUUGGAACUAGAAAAUAUCAUCCUGCGCGAGGUAACUCCGACCCAAAAGAACAUACAUGGUAUGUACUCAGUAAUAAGUGGAUAUUAGUCAAAAAACAUACAGAAUAGACAGGAUACAGUCCACAGUGAGGAUGAUUCAGUCCCACCCACUCAGGAGGGUUAUGAAAGCAACCACAAGAAGGAAAGGAGGGAGAGACCUAGGAGGUCAGAGAGGGGAACAUGAUCUGGUAUUGGGUGGCAGACAAGGACUGAAGCUCUAAGGGUCAGUAGAAAGGACAGAAAUAGGCAACCUCAAGAGAUAUGAGGUUACGGUUACCCUCCAGAAUAUAUCAGAGACCUGGACAGUGAGAUACUCUCAGAACUCAAAGGGCGGGACCCUAGAUGAAAUGCCCUACACUGGGGAGAAGGAACUUGUAAAGUUCACCUCUAGCAGAAAGACAGGCCAUCAAUUGAGGGAUGGGUUGCUAUCCCACAGUCAAACCUCUGACCCAUAAUUGUUCCUGUCUGAAAGAACUACAGGGAAAGAAAUGGAGAAGAGCCUGAGGAAAAGAAAGUCCAGGAAGAUUCUCAAAGUGGGAUCCACCCCAAUGGUUGACACUAUUACUGAGGCUAUGAUGUGCUUACAAGAAGGGAUCUAUCGUGACUGCCCUCCAAAAGACCCAACAAGCAGCUGAAAGAGUCAGAUGGAAAUAUUUGCACCCAACCAAUGGACAGAAGCUGCUGAUCCCUGUGGUUGAAUUGGGGAAGGCUGAAAGAAGCCAAGGAGAAGGGCGAUUCUGUGUAAGGACCAGCAGUGUUAAUUAAUCUGGACCCCCAAGAACUCUCCAACACUGGACUACUUAAACAGGCAGCAUAAACCAGCUGAUAUGCGGCCCCUAACACACAUACAGUAGAGAACUGUCGGGUCUUUGUUCAUUCAGAGAUGAUGCAUCCAGCUCUCAAGAGACUGGAGGUCCCAGGGAGUUUUGAGGUCAGAUGGGGUGGGAGGUGUGGACAUCUACAUGGAGACAGGAGAUGGGGAGGAGAUAUGGGAUGUGAAAUAGAGGAUGAGCAGGGUGGGGGAGAGAAUAAAAUAUAGAAUGAAAAAAAAUUAAAAAGAAGAAGAUGAAAGAAAAAAGAGAUAGAAGAACAAGAAAGAAACAAUCUCAAUUAUUCUAUUUACUAAGCUGAUUCCAAAUCCCUCAGAAUUGCUUUGCUAAAUCUAUACUUUACAUCUCAGUGUUAAACUCGCUUUUCUAGAUGCCUGAGUUCCAAACCCUGGGUUUAAACUUUUCCCUGUUCUUGCCUUCAUUUCCCCCAUUUUCCUCACCAUUAAAUUUUAUCUAAAGAUUCAAGAGGUGUCUUUUAGAAACCUCUACUUAUAGCACCCUGGGUAAAAUUACCAACCUAACAUCACAUGAAUCUCCUUCCUACCUAUUCUCAUUGACCGCUCUUUGCUCUCAUCCUCAGUGCCACAGACAUAGUUAGCAUUUUAAAGAAUACAGAACAUCUUAACUCCUCUGUUAAAAUUCCACCAUUGCCUGCCUAUGUUUAAUGGGGGAAUAAAACAAAACAAAACAAAACAAAACAAAACAGAAAGAUCUAUGACAAGGCCUUUCAUCAACUGCUCAUUACAGCCUUGGCCCCCAAUCUUGCUGAUAUUUCUUCCUCCCCAUGUCAUCUUCCAACAUGUCAGUGCCAGGUUUCCACCUUAAUGGUUGUGCCAAUGGUCAUUGCAGCUUCUGGGCAGGAGUGGUCCCCUGAAAGUUAUCUGCAUGCUCAAAUAUGACUUCAAGUCCUUACCCAAAUAUCACCCUUCAGUUCCACCCUGAAUAUCAAAAUAUCUUAUUUAUAUUUAAAGCUCACCUUUAUUUUCCUGUAAAUGAUAAAAGAGUAUUUAGUGUGCCCCACAUCAUUUUUAACAGUGCUGAGUUCUUUAUGUACUAUAGCAUUAACUUAAAUCACUUAUUUCUAUGAAUACCAAUGUAUCAGAGGGAGGGAAGAAAAUUCUUUUUAAAUAGAAUGUCCAAGUUGUUAAAGACAUACACAUAGAAGAGGCUUAGUGACUAUUUCUGAGUAAAACUACAGGUAAUGAAAGCAGAAGUAAGCCUAAAAGCAUUCAACUAAGAUGGUUGAGGUUCUGCAGUUAGGGAAGAAUAGCAAUGGAAUUUUAACUGAGAAGUGAAUGCUGUCCAGUAUUAACUACUCUAAUCCUAAAAGUGCAUAAUUAUUUGGGAAAAGGCAUAUCUGCCUGCAAUUACAGGACUUGGGAGGCAGGGGCAGGAGGAGAGCUGAAACUUUGAGGGCAACCUCAUCUACAUGAUGAACUUAAAGUCACCUAGUACAGCAUAUCGUAGUCCUGUCUGGAGAAUAAACUUAAACAAAAUAAAGAAGAAAAGGAAUAAAAGUUAAAUUUCAUAGAAUUCAUUUUAAUCAAUGUAUGAAACUAAUUUAAAUUACUAAAUCUCAAUCUCUGUCCCUAUCUAUCUAUCUAUCUAUCUAUCUAUCUAUCUAUCUAUCUAUCUAGAUACAUAUUUAUGUGUAUGUCCAUAUGUUUUGAAGUAUAUAUGUGUACCCACAUAUCCAUACAUACAUAUAUAUAUAUAUAUACAUAUGUGUCUAUUCAUAAUAUAAUAUAAAUGAUGUUAUAGAGAGACCUUCCAGGAAAGAAACAGAGAGAAGAGUACAACACAUUAUAGUUAUUAUACCUAUUCUCCAGAAAAAUUAAUACUUAUGAUUAUUUUGCAGUAGGAAAACUUAAAAUAGGAAAGUAGGAAAACAGAAGAAUAAUGAAAUUCAUUGAACACUCAGGGCAUGUUAAAGUCAGCAUUAAACCAUUUACACGUAAUCCUCAAUAUUAUUCUAGCAGAUGGGUACGAUUUUAAAAUUAUUUAUUUAUUAUUAUAUGUAUAAAGUGUGCACACAUGUAUGUGUGUGGGUGUGUACAUGCAAUGGUACUUAUGCAGAAGUGAGAGAAAAGCUCGUUGGACUUGGUUCUCCACAUCAACAGUGGGUCCCACAGAUCUCUCAUGUCAUCAGCACUGAAAACUAGUUCCUACACCUUCUAAGUCAUCUUGUGUGCCCAGGAAUAUUUUUAUUAUGCCAAUUUGAAAGAUACAGUCACUGAUGAUAACUGUAAUUCAUGUUCAAGGAAAUCAGCAAGAAAACAAAAUUGACACAUAAUAAGUGUAAACUUAGAUGCAAUUCUUGAACUUGGCUGUCUACUCCUGCCUGCAAACUGAGAGGCAGGACGGGUUUUCUAAUGAGAACCUUCCCUGCGAUGUCUGUCUGAAUUGCCACCCUUGCAUAAGUCCAGCUUAAAACACAGUAAACAUGCUUCACUAUUUCAACAAAUAGAAAUACCGUCCUCUAAGUAGUCAUGCUGCCAGACCGAGCCUUUCUUUGUGGCUUAGCUGAUACCUUUCAUCAGCACCCAGAACAAGCAGCAGCAGCUGUGCCAUGAAGAAAGCACAACACUCAGAGAUGGAGAAUUCUGCAAAUGACCAAUUAUAAAACUAUUAAGCUGCAGCACUUUCUGAGCAAGAGGCAAAAUAAUCCAUUAAAGUGGAUAUUCCUAUCCUUCCCUCAAAGGCCCACACAAACAUUAGGGUUGCAUUUGUUAGGAUGUACUUUAUGCGGUCCAUCAACCUGACUUUCUGCAAUUGUAUUAAUACUGUUCCCUCACUUUGUGCAUAUAUCUGAAUGAUGGAUUUCUUCACUUGAGUUCUUGAGAAAGUAGGGUGAAUGAAAUAAAGUUUAGGAUGAGCUGUCACAAUCCAUAAUGACAGGCACUGAAUUGGAACAAGAGGAAACAUCUUUUCUCAUUUAUUUAAUAAGAGACAGUUACUGUGUGUUUAUGUCCAAAUGCCUAGCUACUGGCUGAAUAAUGGAGACUCUUUCACUGGGGGACAAUAGUUUGUGUGUUAAAUUUCUAGGGGUUUACACAAUUAAUCAUGCUCCACAUUUGGAUUCAGUAUUUCUAAAAAGAGAUAUGGUUAAGUAAUUGACAACUUUGAUAUCUUUAAGCCAUCAUGAUUUCAGGGUAAGGGAAUGCAUAAUUAUUUUUAAGCAUUGUUGCAUUUGCAUAACAGUUAAAUGCUAUGAAAAGUGUUUAAUUAUCUUGAUGUUAUCAGAAAGGAAGGAUUGUGUGAAUACAUUUUGCAUGCCAACCAGGUAGGUGACUUUAGGCUGCAAGGAUCUCUUUUUAUAAUGUGUAGUAUAAUAAAAUGGGCAUGCCGAACUACUGUAAGAACAUAAUGGUAUUACAUUCUUGGAAGAACAUGGCACAGUUACACUUAAAAUUCAAACAAUGACUAUCAUUACUAUCAAUGUUGAAAGUAUAUUAAAAUUUCUCAUAAAAUGUAAGGCAUAACCUAUAUCACUAUAAAGUCACAUAAAUUAUUUUUGAAGUUAUGAUCUAUUAACUUGGCUGAGGGAACAUUUAAUACUUAAAUGCAGUGGGAAAGAAGUUAAUUGUUAAAAAUAUAAAUCUCAUACUAUUAAAAUCCAUGUCAUGAUAUUUCUAUCAGCUAAAUAUUUUAUUUAUAAAGUGUCUCUCUAUAUCUCUGUUUCUGUCUGUGUGUGUGUGUUUAAAACAUUAACAUCUAUGUAGUCAUGUCAACUCACAAGACAUCCAUUAAUUAAUUAGUCUGACAUUACAUUGCAUAAUUAUUUUCCUGCUAAAUACUGAUCAUGCAUUUUAGUUGCUGGGAACAUGAGUUUGCAACUAUUCUUAAUUACCUAUUUAAAGUCAAAGGGGAUGAGGAGUGGAGUUGGGCUCCUUGCUUACUGUACAAGGACCCAGGAGUUUAAUAUACUGUGUACUCCAUUACUGAAUGAAAAUGCUUUUGUGCCCUGGGGAUAUCAACAAAAGAUUUGCUUUAAUGAAAGGAACUGAGUGUGGCUCCACAGCUUCCAGAUAGGAGGCCUAGAGGCUACAGUUUGCAUCCAAAGUACCUGCCUUCUCUCUCAACUGCACAGACAGGAAAGAAGCAAUUGCAAAAGCUAAAAGCAACUGCAAUCCCCAUUCAUGCUGGAAAGUGUGAGGAAGAUGUAAUGGUUUUGAACAACGAAAACAUGGGUGUAAAGAAAACACCAAGUAUUAUUUUUGGUUUAAUGAAUGCCAGUCAUUACAGUAGGAAAUCAGCUGCCUUCCCACAGUUAGCAAAAAUCAAACUCAAUCUGAGGAUAAUCUGGGUUUCUAUUUAUUACCUUUAAAAUGCAUUUGUGUGUGUGUGUGUGUGUGUGUGUGUGUGUGUGUGUGUGUGUGUGUGUGUGUGUGUGUUGUGUGUGAUAUUUGGGUGUAUGUAACACAGUGCCUGAAUGAAAGUCAGUGAAUAACUUUAUGGAUAUUGUUCUUUCCUUCCACAUUUAUAUGUAUUUAUGGAUCAAACUCAGGUCACCAGACUUGCAGAAGGACUUUACCAGCUGAGCCAUCUUGCCAGCCUGUUUUUAUAGAAAUUCAGGGCUCCAGGUUAGCAAAGCUCAGGCUGUCUGUGUAUUCUCCUCAACUCUACUUUCUUCUGUCUGAUUUGUUAUCAAGUCUCUCUGUGUGUUGACACUCCAACUCACAACUCCCCAGAACUGAACUUCCAAGGAGGAAAAAUGAUAUUCCCAUUCUUUCUGACAGAAAGGUCGUGAGGAGGAUUCUGGUAUGUGUAGACCCAGAUGCCCACUGCUAAACUAUUUAUUUACUUUACUUGGCCUGAGCCAUGUGACCUAACCCUGAAAUAAGGAACGUAAGAAGGAUGUCAUUAUUUGACACCUGCCUAAACAAAGAAUCCUAGAGUUAGUGUACAGCAAGAUAGGACAGGACACUGGACAAAGAUUUAACUGUCAUCAUAAUACCCAUAGUGCCCUAUGUCUUACCAUUUCUUGCUAAUUUUUUCUUACCUAAAGCUUAGCAAAGAUCUUUACUGCUAGCAAGAGCUUUGAUAUAUGCCACUCUAUAGCAAACUGAUCCAAAGAAAAGCAAAUAGAAGAAGUAAGGAAAAUUCUUAAUACAGUAAAUGAACUUGACUAAUAAUGAUGGAGAAGCUCUGAAAAAUAUCAGUGAAAAGUUUCCCAAAGGCCUUAAAAGUUCAAAGUGGAUAUAUACAUAUAUAUAUAUAUAUAUAUAUAUAUUGUCAUGGAGAUUUUAUAAAUGCAAGCUAAAAAAAUUUAGACAUUUCCAAAGAGUACAGUGUAUCUAUAUAUGUGUGUUUGUUGUCUGUGCAUGUGGAUAUGUUCAUGUGUAUGUAUGCAUGCAUACAGUAUAUGUAUGUGGAAACCAGAAGUAAUGUUACAGGUCUUCCUCAAUGACUUCUCCACCUAAUUUUUUGAAUUAAGUUCUCUCACUGAAAUUGGAAUUCACUUAGACACACCAUUAUGACUAGCUUGUGUUUGGUGGAUCCAGACUCAAGCCUUCAGAUUUGUUCAAUAAUCAUUUUACCCUCUGAGCUAUCCUUGCAGCCCCUAGAAACUACGUUUUAAAGAUAAAAUCCAGAUGACGAAAACAGGGCCUAUACAAAGAAAAUGGCUUGUUUAGGGUAGCAGUGAAUGGCAUUCACAGCAGUAGAAAGGCUGGUGCCAUUCACCUAAGGUCUUUUUAGAUCACAUAAAUCCUAUAUGUAUAUUGAAGCAGUUCAGUUUUACAUUCUUAAAUUCCAAAGAUCUGUGUAAAAUUAACAUUACGGUAAUAUUUGUUUCAAUUAUUUGUAAGAGAGAAAUGUUCAGAGACAUCCUAAUUAAAUGAAUUGUACAUACAUAAAAUAUACAUGGAGGUGUCCUCAAAGAGAGCAUGUGGAUGUCUUCAUCUCUUUACUUUCUGCUCUUUUAAAAAUGCCCCUUUAAAAUUUCCCACUCACCAUCUGUUAGGUAAAUUUCCUAAAACCCAGUAAAAGUGGAGGCAGAGAUUGUUUUAGAGCUGAUUCCAAAUGGCAGUGAUACCUAUAUUUAUGCAAUUUUAAAAAGAAUAGGUUAGGGUUGCUUAAAAAAGAAGCCCCCCAUCAUAAUAUCACAUCACCCUGUGAGCUGAUCUUCAUCACACAUACAAACACACACACACACACACACACACACACACACACAUGCAUACACAGAGAGAGAGAGAAAGAGAGAGAGAGAGAGAGAGAGAGAGAGAGAGAGAGAGAGAGAGAGAGAGUGCACAAGCAUAUGCCAAGCAAUUCUGAGCCCACAGCCUAGAUCAUGUCACUGCAUGCAAAAUAGUAUUCCAAUAGAGUCAGGAUGUAACCAAAGUAAUUUCUACUCUCUGGGUGUUUUCUCUAAGUCAGUAACAGAGGAGCCUUGAUCAGCAAUGAUCUUCUUUCUCAACACUGUAAUGCUUCCUACUCAUGGCUAUAAAAUACUAUCCAGGGGAGACUCGUCCUUUGGUCACCACGUUAUAUAACCUCCCCACUUUAAGCCAUUCCCAUCCUGUGAUUAGUUUUUAAAAAUAUGUUACUCCUCGUCAGUAAUAAUUUAUGUUUAAUCUUUCUGAGCAUUAAGAGAGUAUUAUUCUGCCCGGGCUCAAAAGCAAAUCUCCAGAAAUUCCUCCCCAAUGCUUCUUUGAGGCUGAAAAUGCAUUGCAGGGCAGUUGCUGUGAUUUAAUACUACUUGGCAGAGCCCUGGCCACAAGCUAAUUUCAUUAGCCUCAAAUUCCUGGAUUAGAAAGACCCACUAGAUCUGAUUCUUGUUCUCAGACAUGUCAUUUGCUAACAUAUUCAGGGAAGAUACUGAAGAGAAAAAAAAGGAGGGGGAAGUGGGGAGGGAGGAAGGUAAGGAGGGCAGGAGGCAGACAGAGAGACAGGGAGAGAGAGAGGAGGAGUCUGACCUGACUUUUCCAUCCUAUCUCUUGCCUUGCACCCUUGCACACCAGUGGGCAGAGAAUUCCAAGUGACAUGCAGCAUUACCUCUGAGUAGCCAUCCAUGUCCAGCUCCUUAUUUUACAGUGUUUCCCACCCUGGCUCUGGCAGAAGCAGCAUUUGUUGUACCUCUGACUAUCUCAUUACCUCCUCCUGGCCCCCAGUGCUCCGCAUCCCCUACACUUAGUCUCUAAGUAUCUCCUCUCUCAGGCUACAGGCUCAUCUCACUAUAAAUGUAUAUCUCAACUUAUCAGUUUGGCAUGGUCCGCACAGCCACCCACGAGAACUGAAGCAAAGAAGAAGAAGAAAAAAAAAAAAAAAAAAAAAAAAAAAAAAAAAAAAAAAAAAAAAAAAAAAAAAAAAAAACCAAAUCACUGCAGAGCUGAGAAUUCAGUCAUUUGGAGGAGUUUAUUUUAUAUAGAGCAAUGUUAAUUGAACAGAAGCCUGGGGUUCCAGAGGAGCUUCACCUACUCUCCCUUGCCUCUUCCUCUGUUUGAAGGUGCCUAUCAUUAUUCUACCUUAAUUCACUUUAAUUGUUUUGCAGGAUAACAGAACCUGGAAAACUCCUGGAACUUUGGAGGCUAAGGGCCUCUAAAAUCACAUGCAGGAAAAAAAAAAAAAAAAAAAAAGCUACCAAGUGAUAUCUACAGAGAAAGAGAAGUAUAUAUUGAGAUAUAUGUUCAUAUCUAUGCACACACACACACUUCAAUGUGGGUAAUGGCUAAACUAGGGUGCACACUGUUAUGCCCAGGGUGCAGCACAAGCCACAAGUUGGAGCAUCUCUCCCACUCCCAGCCUCUUCUCAGUAACCGCAGGUGAGAAGCAGGGCCUCUUUUGCCUCAGCUGUACAAUCCAACUUGAAUAGCUGCAAUUUGCAAAUUAGAGGAAAAUGACAGUGUUUCCUCUGAAUGGUUUGGGUUCCAACCCACACUGCUCAGGCUGGCGUUAGUUUCCAUCCCUCCCCAGCUCAAGGAAAGAGGGCAAGGAAGUAGAAGACCAGACAUUUGUUUCUUUGGAAGUUGCCUCGGUUUUUAAAUGCUACUGGGUGAGAAAUCAGCUCCCCUGGAGUCCUUUGAACACUGUCCCUAGCUUCAUUUGCAAUGACUCUCUUGGAUAUUUCACUCUUCUUCACAGACAUCGGUCCAUCUGGGGUAAUGUCUAUGCUCCCAUUCAGGAGAAACCCAGGCAGAGAAAUAAUAUUCAAAUGUUCAAUGCAGAAUGAGCAUUCCACCUCUCAAGGCUUGGGAGAAGACUGCCAACACACACACACACACACACACACACACACACACACACCUCAGGUAUUGUCCCAAUCUUCAUCUCUUCAUUCUUUCUGCAGCUACAGCUCAGCUCCUCCACCCCAAGCUCCCAAACUUCAAGCUUGGAGGUGAACAAAAUUCCUUUUAAAUGUGAUGGCAAUAGCCCAGGCUGUUCGAGAAUUCAAGCAACCUAGAGUGAAGUCUGCCCUCAAAUCACUUUAGGAGAGUGCAAGCAGCAAGAAGUCUCCGGGCAGGCACAUUCAGGAGCCAUUGGUGUGCUCUGUUGAUUAGAAGGGACCCACUAGCUUCAGGGGAGCACUCCUGCUGCUUGAGCACAAAGUUCUCCUGGAGAUGAUGCAGGUCCUUUGCUGGCCUGGACAUCACCCACCAGCAGGUCCCUCAUAAAACUCCUACCCUCCGGGAAAGCAUGUGAGCAAGAGUCACUUCUUAGACUUGGGCAGCACAAUCCUGCAGGCACCAACUUGCACAGCUAAGAGAAAGGGUUGGCUGGAUCUGGCUACCACCAAAGGAGUGAGCAAGCCCUGGGUUAAUAAGAAAGUCAUACUCAAACUGACUUGAGGCAAGAACAUGAGUGUGAGAAAAGGAAACAGGGGUUGAGAAAUGCCUAUGAGGAAGGGAAACCAAACAAGGAAACAGAGAAGCAUAAGGACACCUUGUCAGAGUUCCCUGAACUCAAUUUCUAACCCUCAAAGCUAUCCAUUUCUACCCAGUGCAGUGCAGUCUAGGAGACAGAGGCUGCAGGGACCAAAGGCAGAGCACUGCGGUUGGAGCCCUAGAUCUGCCUUUUUGAACCCAGGGCAUAAGACCUGCAUAACCCGCUUUAGCACAUCCACUGUUCUUGGGCAGAGCAGACUGAGUUUCCCAGCUUAGAGCCUGGAAUUCUGGGUGUGGGGCUGCACUAGUGAGGGAGGGGGACAAGGAGCGCAGGGAGCAGUCAGUGAAAGGGAUUUUAUUUCGCAGUUAGCAUGAGCUCAUCCCCAGCUGAGGUCUGAAGUGGCAGCAGAAAGCUAGCUGAUCGCCCAGCUCCUGCCACCGGCCGGACUGCAAAUGCAAUUUAGGCGGUGCACAAAAUUGCCAGGAGGAAACCAACUCAGGGGGAUCACGUCAGCAGGCGGGGUCUCCCCAGUGGGGCGGAUACCCCCAUGCCUCUGAUGCAGAUGGGCUACAGGUCGUAAAUUCAACCCCAAAGAGACGGGCAAUUAUCAUCCACAUGCGGGUAAACCCCAACCCUCUUUUGAAGAAGGGGUUUCUUGAGGUCUUCGAGAAUAUUUCCAUGGAGUCGAGGUUUCCUAAGUGGCUUGGGCAUGGGAAGCUGGGGAGUUGAGAAAUGCCAUUUUCAAAGCAUCUUCUAAUUUUUCAUAUUCCUUGUGUCUAACCUGCUCCCCUAGGAGCCCAGACACUUUUACAAGCCUGUUUCCGAACCAUAUUUCACUCUAAUGCAAACCAUUUAAAUCAUCGCCUUGUUUUUUCCGAAGAUUGCUUCUUGUAAAUGGGACCAUAAAUCCGGGGAGUCAUGCCGUAUGGAGUGGAGCGUGGACAGGGAAAGACAUAAAAGAGGAGUAAACUAAGCAAGGAAGAUACCUCCUUGGGUGGGGUGGGAGGGAUUCGACAGGAUCUCCAGGGUAGAAAUGUUGGAGUGCUGGCCUGACCCCUGCAACCCAUGAAGUCCAAACCAGCUUUUAAGGUUAGAGCGCAGGGAGCCACAGAAUGCUCCUCCCCAAAGGGAGCGCCCCCCUACCUGGAAAAGCCUCAAGAUGUUGGCUACCAUGAUGGAGACGGAGCUCCCCGAAGCCCCAAUCACUCCAACUACUUUCUCUGGCUUGACGAAAACCGGGGGCUCUCCGUUGGUGCAACGCACGUCGGAGGUGUCCUUCUGGAUAAGCGCCUGGACGAAAGUGAGCGACUGUUCGAGCGCAUAAGUGUCCCUGGAACAAGUGUCCAGGAUCCGCGCGCCUAACGUUACGUUGGGCAGCAGGUUGGGAUCGCUGUUGAUCUGGUCGAGAGCAUAAAGCAUAGCUUCCAGCCUGUGGAUCCCAUUCUCCCUCUUGAUGUCGCCGCAGGGCACUCCGCUGGGACCCUUGGCGUGCACUGGGAACAGCCCCCCAAGGGUGACGUCCCCCUCGAUCCGGAUCGAGUGCGGGGCGUACAUCUCCUGGCCGCGCGCCGCCGCCGCCAGCACGCACAGGAGCACCUCCAGCACGCAGCAGGGGAACUUCAUCAAAGUCAGGACGCGGAGCAGCUUCCCCAGCUGGACCAUGCCGCUCCGGAUGCUGCUGCGGUAGCGGCGGCGGCGCUGGAGGGGAUGCUGGUGGGCUCUCCCAGGUCCCGGCUUCUCGAGAAAAAAUGGAAGUCUGAAACAGCUUUACCUUAAGCACUUGAUCAACUACAUGAAAGUAUAGAUUGAUUCUUCUGGAUUUAAGACCUCACUUUUUGACCAAUAGCUGAGCUUGCUGCCAUGGGCUGCCUGAACAAGUACCAAGAGGCCAGAGAAGAAUUGGAUGUUCUCCAGUCCUGGAACUGGAGUCAUGGAUAUCUGUGAGCGACCACAUUGGUCCUGGGAGACCAACCAACCAACCAACCAACCAACCAACCAACCAACCAACCAACAGCAAAAUCAACAGCAAAAGCAUCUAGUUUUCGGCAAGAGCAUAAAAUGCUCUUAACCACUGAGCCAUAUCUCCUGCCUCAAUUUCAUCUGAUUUUUUUUUCCUAUGAUUUCACUUUCCAUCAUACUGUGUGGAAAACACUUUCUACUUUUAAUUUCUGUCUGUUGCAUAUGUGUGUGGGUGUCUGCAGGCCAGAAGAGGGCAUAGUUAUCUCAUGUAGCUACCACUGCAAGCAAUCUUGAGCAUCUCAGCAUGGGUGCUGGGACCCACACCUCCUCAGGAUCAGCAAGAGCUCUUAGCUGAUUAGCCAAACCCCAAUAUCUUUUCUGUAUAUAUUUAAUUCUAAUUUGUAAUCUACCAAGCUACCAUUAAUUUCUGCUUCCUUUUUUUCCUAUAUGUGAGCAUAUAUGUGUAUAUGCUAAGUAUAUAUCUAGGUAAGGCCUAGAAGUAGUUGUCAGCUCUGGAACAAGAUUUACAAGUGACUGGUAAGGUACCGAAUUUGACUGCUAGAAUCUGAACUCAGGUCUUCAAGAGCAGCAAGUCGUAUUAGCUGCUGAUGCAUCUCUCCCCCGCUUAGUAGCAUUUCUUAAGCUAAAACAAUCUAAAUAUCAUUCCUUUCUUCAUACAUAUAUCCAGCCACAUGUUUUGGAUUUUUUUUCUGACAUAGUAUCUCAAGAAUCCAUUUUUCCAAAAAUAAGAUUGACCUUCUUGCCGGGUGGUGGUGGCACACGCAUUUACCUUUAAUCCCACACUUGGAAGGCAGAGGCAGGUGGAUUUCUGAGUUGGAGGCCAGCCUGGUCUACAAAGUGAGUUCCAGGACAGCCAGGGCUAUACAGAGAAACCUUGUCUCGAAAAACCAUAAAAGAAAAAAAAAAAUGACAGUCUUAUCCUUUUACCUCCUAAGCAUGGGGAACAAACAUGGACUCAUCACGGUUAUAUACAGUGCUGGGGAUUGACCUUCAUACUUCUCCUAUGCUCACAACCAUCUGCAACUUUACUUCAAGGAUUAUGUUUAUCUUUUCUGAACUUUCUUAGAACCAGGCACAUGAUGCACAUACACAUGCACAGGCAGAAUUCUCAUAUGCAUAAAUUGAAAAUAAAUAAAAAUUCACCUAGUGAAUUCUAUCUUCAGAUAGAAUAGAAUGGAGACAGAAUUAAAAUGGACAUUCACACUUACUUUACAUUAUUAAAUAUGGUCACUUUUCCCUGGAGAAAAAGACACUAUUACAUUUUGUGUUGUAUUUUUCUGAGAUUCAUUUUUUGGUAGAUAUAUUUAUGUCAUUUAACUAUCAUCUAUUCCUCAUAUUUCUUUUUUCUUAUUGUUAAAAUAUCUGGUAUUGCACAGAAAUACAUAGUAAAAGCCUCUGCAGGCCAGGUCAAAAGUCACUUCCCUUGAUCGUCUUAUCUUCCUUUAUAAAGGUCUAUUUUGCUUUAGGAACUCAAGUAAGUGGUACACAAGACAAGUUUUAGAAGAUUAUUAUUAUUAUUAUUAUUAUUAUUAUUAUUAUUAUUAUUAUUAUUUUGGUUUUUCGAGACAGGAUUUCUCUGUAUAGCCCUAGAUGUCCUGGAACUCACUCUGUGGAUCAGGCUGGCCUUGAACUCAGAAAUCCACCUGUCUCUGCCUUCCAAGUGCUGGGAUUAAAGGCAUGUGCCACUACUGCCCGGCUAGUAGAAUUUCUUGGGGGUUGCGGUUUGAUGUGUUUGUAGAUAUGCCACCCAGGAUCACAGUAGCCUCUUUCCUAGCUGCCUGCAGAUAUAGAGUGAAAGAAACCCAGUGUUCCUUAUUUUUCUGUGUCAUUACAUAAACUAUAAACCUCAUUGUUUAGAUGUAUUUAUUUGAGAUUUCUCCUACUUGUAAGCAAAUAUAUGAUAUAACUAAAUGUAUGUCAUUAUUAAGGCUAAGGAGGUGGCUCAGUGCUCAAGUGCAUAUACUGCUCCUGGAGAGGACCCAAGUUCAGUUUGCAGCACUCUCUUCCAGUGUCUCAUAACCAACUGUCACUUCCCAUUAUGGACUCUGGAAACCGGUACUCACUCUGGUUUAUACCUAAAUAUAGCUGUAUACAUAUAUACACAUAAUUGAAGCUAAUGAAAAAAUAAUUCAAAAAGACUUGCUGUGAGGACUGAAGGAAUGGUUCAGCAGCUAAAAACACUUCCUACUCUCUGAGGGGAUUUGUGUUAGGUUUCCAGCACCCAUCUGGUUACUCACAGCCAUCUGCGACUUUAGUUCCCUGGAUUCUGAUGGCCUUUACUGAACUUUCUUAGAACCAGACACAUGAUGCACACACACACACACACACACACACACACACACACACACACACACACACACACACACAGGCAAAAUUCUCAUAUACAGAAAGUGAAAGUAAAUAAAACUAUAUUUUAAAAAUUAUAUCAGCAUUAACAAAUACUAUAUUAGUAUAUUUGUGUUAAGGUUGACUGUUGUCCAUGGUGCUUUGUUCAUCCUGAUCUCAGUGAUCCAACCCAUUUCUCCCUUUACUAGAGAGAGAGAACAUUACUCACUGGCCCUUUGGGUAAGAGCAUGAGGCUAAUUUAGAGAAAAUCAUAGUAAUGAAGAGGAUUCAUUGCAUAAUGCUAGACCUCUCUUCCAUACCAUAUUUUAUUGACCUUAAACAUGUAUCCCUUCCAUAGAUGUGAGUAAGUAUAGAGAUGUUGGCUGGAGUCUGCAUGGGGGCACUUUGACUGAGCUUACCCUACACUACCUGAGUGGGUUCUGAGUUGUAGGGAAGAGUUGAGGCACCACUCUGAGGAUGGAAAAGCACAGCCUGAGACAUGAGAAAGCUUGAGCUGGUCGGAGAGGCCUUUGGCAGGAGAGUAGGUUAAACCUCUGUAGGUGAAGGCGUUCUCCAUGGUGCCCCACAGUGGCUCUUGGUGAAAAGAGAUAGUCCAUGGUUUUAAACAGGUUAUUGUUGUGUCCGAAAAUGGAUGCAUAAAACCAUACCCCACUUCUCAGGGUGGGUCUGAGAUUAAAUACUUUUUGUGGGAAGAAAUGUUUGAGAAGGGAAGCUUAUUGGCUAAGCCCUCCUGGCCUCUAGGUACCUCAUGGAGCCUGUUCUGGGCCAAUGUAACCUAGGACACAUUUUUUUUUUUUUUUUUUUUUGAUGUGAGAAGCAUGGCAAGUGUUCCAAGUCAGGAGUUUUGCAGGAAGCUGGAAGAUGGUUAAGCCUCAGGUGUGUGCCCACUGAGUCUCCUGGUCUUGACCUGCUCUAUGUUACCAAACUUCCUGGAAUGGUUUUAUGUCCUACAAAUAAGAGAGCAGCAUGAUGGACUUUUUACUUGUCAAGCAAAAGAUUUUCUCUUCCUUUCCAGUCAAGCCAUCCUGGAAGCACUCAUAUUCUACCCUAUUUCCCAAAUCUCUUCAAUGACUUCUUAAAUUGGCCGUGGAUGGGAAUUCAAUGUCCAGAAGCUUCCAUUUUUACAAUAUGAACAGAAAUGUCAGAGAAUUAAAUGAAGCCACAGAAGGAAGCAGGUUCAGAUGUAAAACAAAGACGAGAGGCCCAACAUGGUCCCUUGAGAAUGAGUUCAGUCACACUUCAAGCUCCAUUCACCACUGCAUAUUCCAUCUUCCUGUGCACUAACUUCUUUCAUUUUCUUGGGUUGUUUCUUUUGUUUGUUUGUUUGUUUGUUUGUUUGUUUUAUCUGAUGUCGGUUUUCAUGUAUCUCAGACUGGCUUUGAAUUUGCUGUGGUAGGGAUGAAAACCUUGAGUUCCUGAUCCUCCUGUGUCUACUUUCUUUUUUUUUUUUCCUUUUUUUUAUUAGGUAUUUUCCUCAUUUACAUUUUCAAUGCUAUCCCAAAGGUCCCCCAUACCCACCCCCCCAAUCCCCUACCCACCCACUCCCCCUUUUUGGCCCUGGCAUUCCCCUGUACUGGGGCAUAUAAAGUUUGCAAGUCCAAUGGGCCUCUCUUUGCAGUGAUGGCUGUGUCUACUUUCUAACGGAUGAAGUUAUACACAUACUCUACCACAUUUGGCUGUUUCAUCAUUUGGAAAAGCUAUUUUGAGUUGGUUCUUGCAUAAUCAACAGUGUUAAUUAGACAGUUACAGCUUAAAGAUAAGCAGAUAACUAAAUGUAUAAGCUACUGAUUAUUAGACUUCCCUGAGAAGGAAUUGUUGAAAGUCUAUAACUUGGUCAUAAUAGAAUAAAAUGGCCUUCAAGUCAGCUCCCCAGGUGACUACAGACCUUGAGGAGAUAAGAGCAAACAUGAAAUGAUCAUUUUAUAGGAAAAUAAAAUGAAAACAUAGUAAGGGAAAAAUAUAGGUAAUUAGUCUUUAGUCUUUUUUUUUAUUACGUAUUUUCCUCAUUUACAUUUCCAAUGCUAUCCCCAAAAUCCCCCAUAUCCUCCCCCCCCACUCCCCUACUCACCCACUCCCACUUUUUGGCCCUGGCGUUCCCCUGUACUGGGGCAUAUAAGAAUGUAAUUUCUUAUGUUCAUCCUUAACAAGUCAUAUGGCAAUGGAACUGGGAUGAGUGCACAUGUGUGUUGUUUGUUUGUUUAUUUAUUUAUUUAUUUAUUUAUUUAUUUAUUUUGGUUUGGUGUUUGUGUAUGCAUAUGCACAUUUGCAUUUGCACAAUCAGCAAACAAGCAAGGGUGAGUACACAUGUAUGUGGAGUUUAGAGGGUUUUCAUCAACAGGUGCCUUUGUCAGUCACUAUCCUAUUUAUUUAUUUAUUUAUUUAUUUAUUUAUUUAUUUUGAGAAAGAAUAGGGUUUCUCAUUGAACCCAGAGGGCUUCAACUUACCUGUGCUAACUGGUUAGCAAGCUCUAAAGAUCAUUUUGUCUCAAUCUUCCCCUGGCUGGAUUUCAGGGGCUUCACUGCAAUCUGUAGGCUUUUAAAUGGUUUCUAGGCAUCAGACCUCAUGUGUUCUUGCUUUUGUGGCAAGUAUUUCAUUGACGGUCCAUCUCUUGCUUUUCUAUGUAAAAGCUGAAACAAUGCUCUGAGCAUAAUGAUCUACCACUGUCAUCCCAAAUAGCAUGGACACACAGUCAAGGGAAAUGCUGUAUGUAAUGCUAGUCUUUUUCUAUACAGAAUGCUCCGAAUUAGCAAGAGAUAAUGGAGGAGCUUUGUUUCACAACAAACAACAAAACACCUCCACCACCAUCAUCAAAAUGCUGAUCCAUAGCAAUGAAUAUUUUUAGUAUUUUUACUCCAGUAAGGACCCCAAAAAAGUGGGAUACAUAGUAAAUGAUAAGUCCUAGUUAUCCGAAGUUCCAUGUAUGUGUCUGGGUAUAGUGACGAUCAGCCGUAACCUCAACAUUUUGGAAGCAGAAGCAGGCAGAUGAAUUAAAGACAGUCUGAACUGUGGUGAGUUCCAGACCAACCAGGGCUGCAUUGCUGUCUCAAAAAAAAAAAAAAAAAAAAAAAAAAAAAAAAAAAAAAAACAAGUGGUGUGUCUCAUCCCUAUCAGUUUUCAUUUGGUGGUACAUACACUUGUGACAUAUGUCUUUGAACAUGCUGCUUGUACUUUUUCAGGUCUGUUCUUGUACACUGGAUUCUGUUGUGAUUUAAUAAUGUACCUCGGUCAACCACUGCUAAAGCACCAAAAGUUCAAAGUUCAAAAUUUGCUUACAUGAAGCUCAAAUCUAAUAUUUUACCUGAAGUGUACAAAGGGAUAUUUUCCUUUCUGAUUAUGAAUUGAUUCAGUUAACAUUACUUUUUACUAAAAGCCCGGUUUUAUGAGUCUCUUGACAGAUUAUCUAACCCAGGUGGUCAGCCCUAAACACAGGCAAUAUAAAAUGGGCUUGUUAGUUACAGACAGACAGACAGACAGACAGACACACAAAGAGAGAGAGAGAGACAGAGACAGACAGAGAGAGAGAGAGAGAGAGAGAGAGAGGCAGAGACAGAGACAGAGACAGAAACAGAGAAACUGAGAGGCAGAGAGAAGCAGAGAGAGAGAGACACAGACAAAGAGAAAGAGAGAGAUUACACACAUAUGUGUAUACGUAACAAUAAUAAUUAUAGAAGACGAGGUCAUGAACUUUAGGGAGAGUCAGGGAACAAGGAAAAUGUUGGAAGGAAGUGAAGAGGAUGAAAAUGAUGCAAAUAUGUGAAAUUCUCAAGAGGGUAAAAAAUUGGAAUGCCAAAUAAUCAUCCUUUCUUUAAAAUUUCCAAACUUUUCCUUCUGAAUUAACUUUGUGUACUUUAAUAUAGAGAAUCGUGGUAUUAUAUGUUUACCUUUUGCAUAAUCAAAACAUUAGGCAUUUCUCUGUUUCAUCCUUCUUAGUAGAUCAAAGGAGAAUGUCCACAACAGUGGUUGAUAUCCAUGGUUUAUUGAAAAUUCAAGUUAUAAUUUUAAGUUCACCUUGUAAGAUAUUUUAGAAGCUUGCUUCUCUGAUCGAUGUCUCCAAUCUUUAACUUCCUAUCCACAUUGAAAUUGUAUAGGCAAAUAUGAUGCCAAUUUUGUAGUGAAAUUAUUCUUCACUAUAUAUUCUACAAUUUCAAUCGGGAGUCAUUCAGAUCACAUCUUAUAACUUCUCCCUGCAAAACAUAUAUGUAAACCAAGAAAAAUGAGUUCCAAUCAAUUUUCUUCUUUUUAUUUUAAAGGAAUCUUAUAUUAUACACACUAGUUCUUCAUUUAUAGUAUCUAGCCUCCCUCAUGUUUCUCCAUUUCAAUUCAUCUCACACGUUCCCCUCUUAAAUUCAGGACUUUGUCUUUGAUAUUGUUGCAUGUAUUCUUCCCUUAUACAAUGCUUUCCAUGACUUCCUCCAAAAUUCAUCAAUUUGUUAUUGUUAUUUGUAUAACAUAAGUUUUUAUGUACUUGUACCCAGGGCUGACUAUUUGGUAUUGAGCAACCUGUUCAGGAGCUUGAUUUUAUAGAAACUGAUACUCCUUCACUCAGUGGCCAUUGGCCACCUGUCACUCUUCAUCUAUGGAUGAGGACAUGUGGAAUAUUGUCUAUCUAGUCUAAUUUCUGAAGGAGAGAACAGCAAGAAUCUUUUGUGAACCUUAAUUCAUCCAAUCACGAUUGACUUAGUAUAUCCGCUCCAGCUGUGAUAACCUAACUGGCCAUAAAUUUAUCAUUUCCCUUGCUGUCAAGCAGGAAAUCAGAAUAAAAGAAGCUUCAGCUAUAUCUUA